AGCGUUCUAUGGGUUCAUUUCGCUUAUUUGCUUACUCUUGAGUAGAACUGCAAGUUCACUCAAGAAAUAAGCACCCUUGUAAAAUGAGCCAAACUGAAGCAAAACACAUUGUUGGAGUGUCAGAAUGCAUAGAUAGAAGACAAUAAGCGUUCUAUGGGUUCAUUUCGCUUAUUUGCUUACUCCUGAGUAGAAAUGCAUGUGCACGCCAAGAAAUAAGCACCUUUGUAAAAUGAGCCAAAUUGAAGCAAAACAGAUUGUUGGAGUGUCAGAAUGCAUAGAUAACAGACAAAUAAGCGUUCUAUAGGUUUAUUUCGCUUAGUUGCUUACUCUUGAGUAGAACUGCAUGUUCACUCCAGAAAUAAGCACCUUUGUAAAAUGAGCCAAAUUGAAGCAAAAGACAUUGUUGGAGUGUCAGAAUGCAUAGAAAGAAGACAAAUAAGCGUUCUAUGGGUUCAUUUCGCUUAGUUGCUUACUCUUGAGUAGAACUGCAACAUCACUCAAUAAAUAAGCAACUUUCUAAAAUGAGCCAAAUUGAAGCAAAACAUAUUGGUGGAGUGUCAGAAUGCAUAGAUAGAAGCCAAAUAAGCGUUCUAUAGGUUUAUUUCGCUUAGUUGCUUACUCUAGAGUAGAACUGCAUGUUCAUUCAAUAAAUAAGCACCUUUGUAAAAUGAGCCAAAUUGAAGCAAAACACAUUGUUGGAGUGUCAGAAUGCAUAGAUAACAGACAAAUAAGCGUUCUAUAGGUUUAUUUCGCUUAGUUGCUUACUCUUGAGUAGAACUGCAUGUUCACUCCAGAAAUAAGCACUUUUGUAAAAUGAGCCAAAUUGAAGCAAAACACAUUGUUGGAGUGUCAGAAUGCAUAGAUAACAGACAAAUAAACGUUCUAUAGGUUUAUUUCGCUUAGUUGCUUACUCUUGAGUAGAACUGCAUGGUCACUCCAGAAAUAAGCACCUUUGUAAAAUGAGCCAAAUUGAAGCAAAACACAUUGUUGGAGUGUCAGAAUGCAUAGAUAACAGACAAAUAAGCGUUCUAUAGGUUUAUUUCGCUUAGUUGCUUACUCUUGAGUAGAACUGCAUGUUCAUUCAAUAAAUAAGCACCUUUGUAAAAUGAGCCAAAUUGAAGCAAAACACAUUGUUGGAGUGUCAGAAUGCAUAGAUAACAGACAAAUAAGCGUUCUAUAGGUUUAUUUCGCUUAGUUGCUUACUCUUGAGUAGAACGGCAUGUUCACUCCAGAAAUAAGCACUUUUGUAAAAUGAGCCAAAUUGAAGCAAAACAUAUUGUUGGAGUGUCAGAAUGCAUACAAAGAAGACAAAUAAGCGUUCUAUGGGUUCAUUUCUCUUAUUUGCUUACUCUUGAGUAGAACUGCAAGUUCACUCAAGAAAUAAGCACCCUUGUAAAAUGAGCCAAAUUGAAGCAAAACACAUUGUUGGAGUGUCAGAAUGCAUAGAUAACAGACAAAUAAGCGUUCUAUAGGUUUAUAUCGCUUAGUUGCUUACUCUUGAGUAGAACUGCAAGUUCACUCCAGAAAUAAGCACUUUUGUAAAAUGAGGCAAAUUGAAGCAAAACAUAUUGGUGGAGUGCCAGAAUGCAUAGAUAGAAGCCAAAUAAGCGUUCUAUAGGUUUAUUUUGCUUAGUUGCUCACUCUUGAGUAGAACUGCAAGUUCACUCAAUAAAUAAGCACCUUUGUAAAAUGAGCCAAAUUGAACCAAAACACAUUGUUGGAGUGUCAGAAUGCAUAGAUAACAGACAAAUAAGCGUUCUAUAGGUUUAUUUCGCUUAGUUGCUUACUCUUGAGUAGAACUGCAAGUUCACUCCAGAAAUAAGCACCUUUGUAAAAUGAGCCAAAUUGAAGCAAAACACAUUGUUGGAGUGUCAGAAUGCAUAGAAAGAAGGCAAAUAAGCGUUCUAUGGGUUCAUUUCGCUUAGUUGCUUACUCUUGAGUAGAACUGCAAGUUCACUCCAGAAAUAAGCACCUUUGUAAAAUGAGCCAAAUUGAAGCAAAAAACAUUGUUGGAGUGUCAGAAUGCAUAGAUAGCAGACAAAUAAGCGUUCUAUGGGUUCAUUUCGCUUAUUUGCUUACUCCUGAGUAGAAAUGCAUGUGCACGCCAAGAAAUAAGCACCUUUGUAAAAUGAGCCAAAUUGAAGCAAAACAGAUUGUUGGAGUGUCAGAAUGCAUAGAUAACAGACAAAUAAGCGUUCUAUAGGUUCAUUCUGCUUAGUUGCUUACUCUUGAGUAGAACUGCAUGUUCACUCAAGAAAUAAGCACCCUUGUAAAAUGAGCCAAAUUGAAGCAAAACAUAUUGGUGGAGUGCCAGAAUGCAUAGAAAGAAGACAAAUAAGCGUUCUAUGGGUUUAUUUCGCUCAGUUGCUUACUCUUGAGUAGAACUGCAUGUUCACUCCAGAAAUAAGCACCUUUGUAAAAUGAGCCAAAUUGAAGCAAAACACAUUGUUGGAGUGUCAGAAUGCAUAGAUAACAGACAAAUAAGCGUUCUAUGGGUUCAUUUCGCUUAGUUGCUUACUCUUGAGUAGAACUGCAUGUUCACUCCAGAAAUAAGCACCUUUGUAAAAUGAGCCAAAUUGAAGCAAAACAUAUUGGUGGAGUGUCAGAAUGCAUAGAUAGAAGCCAAAUAAGCGUUCUAUAGGUUUAUUUCGCUCAGUUGCUUACUCUUGAGUAGAACUGCAUGUUCACUCCAGAAAUAAGCACCUUUGUAAAAUGAGCCAAAUUGAAGCAAAACACAUUGUUGGAGUGUCAGAAUGCAUAGAUAGCAGACAAAUAAGCGUUCUAUGGGUUCAUUUCGCUUAUUUGCUUACUCCUGAGUAGAAAUGCAUGUGCACGCCAAGAAAUAAGCACCUUUGUAAAAUGAGCCAAAUUGAAGCAAAACAGAUUGUUGGAGUGUCAGAAUGCAUAGAUAACAGACAAAUAAGCGUUCUAUAGGUUUAUUUCGCUUAGUUGCUUACUCUUGAGUAGAACUGCAUGUUCACUCCAGAAAUAAGCACCUUUGUAAAAUGAGCCAAAUUGAAGCAAAACACAUUGUUGGAGUGUCAGAAUGCAUAGAAAGAAGACAAAUAAGCGUCCUAUGGGUUCAUUUCGCUUAGUUGCUUACUCUUGAGUAGAACUGCAAAUUCACUCAAUAAAUAAGCAACUUUCUAAAAUGAGCCAAAUUGAAGCAAAACAUAUUGGUGGAGUGUCAGAAUGCAUAGAUAGAAGCCAAAUAAGUGUUCUAUAGGUUUAUUUCGCUUAGUUGCUUACUCUAGAGUAGAACUGCAUGUUCAUUCAAUAAAUAAGCACCUUUGUAAAAUGAGCCAAAUUGAAGCAAAACACAUUGUUGGAGUGUCAGAAUGCAUAGAUAACAGACAAAUAAGCGUUCUAUAGGUUUAUUUCGCUUAGUUGCUUACUCUUGAGUAGAACUGCAUGUUCACUCCAGAAAUAAGCACUUUUGUAAAAUGAGCCAAAUUGAAGCAAAAGAUAUUGGUGGAGUGUCAGAAUGCAUAGACAGAAGCCAAAUAAGCGUUCUAUAGGUUUAUUUCGCUUAGUUGCUUACUCUUGAGUAGAACUACAAGUUCACUCCAGAAAUAAGCACCUUUGUAAAAUUAGCCAAACUGAAGCAAAACACAUUGUUGGAGUGUCAGAAUGCAUAGAUAACAGACAAAUAAGCGUUCUAUAGGUUUAUUUCGCUUAGUUGCAUACUCUUGAGUCGAACUGCAUGUUCACUCCAGAAAUAAGCAACUUUCUAAAAUGAGCCAAAUUGAAGCAAAACAUAUUGUUGGAGUGUCAGAAUGCAUAGAAAGAAGACAAAUAAGCGUUCUAUAGGUUUAUUUCGCUUAGUUGCUUACUCUUGAGUAGAACUGCAUGUUCACUCCAGAAAUAAGCACCUUUGUAAAAUGAGCCAAAUUGAAGCAAAACACAUUGUUGGAGUGUCAGAAUGCAUAGAUAACAGACAAAUAAGCGUUCUAUGGGUUCAUUUCGCUUAGUUGCUUACUCUUGAGUAGAACUGCAUGUUCACUCCAGAAAUAAGCACCUUUGUAAAAUGAGCCAAAUUGAAGCAAAACAUAUUGGUGGAGUGUCAGAAUGCAUAGAUAGAAGCCAAAUAAGCGUUCUAUAGGUUUAUUUCGCUCAGUUGCUUACUCUUGAGUAGAACUGCAUGUUCACUCCAGAAAUAAGCACCUUUGUAAAAUGAGCCAAAUUGAAGCAAAACACAUUGUUGGAGUGUCAGAAUGCAUAGAUAGCAGACAAAUAAGCGUUCUAUGGGUUCAUUUCGCUUAUUUGCUUACUCCUGAGUAGAAAUGCAUGUGCACGCCAAGAAAUAAGCACCUUUGUAAAAUGAGCCAAAUUGAAGCAAAACAGAUUGUUGGAGUGUCAGAAUGCAUAGAUAACAGACAAAUAAGCGUUCUAUAGGUUUAUUUCGCUUAGUUGCUUACUCUUGAGUAGAACUGCAAGUUCACUCAAUAAAUAAGCAACUUUCUAAAAUGAGCCAAAUUGAAGCAAAACAUAUUGGUGGAGUGUCAGAAUGCAUAGAUAGAAGCCAAAUAAGCGUUCUAUAGGUUUAUUUCGCUUAGUUGCUUACUCUAGAGUAGAACUGCAUGUUCAUUCAAUAAAUAAGCACCUUUGUAAAAUGAGCCAAAUUGAAGCAAAACACAUUGUUGGAGUGUCAGAAUGCAUAGAUAACAGACAAAUAAGCGUUCUAUAGGUUUAUUUCGCUUAGUUGCUUACUCUUGAGUAGAACUGCAUGUUCACUCCAGAAAUAAGCACUUUUGUAAAAUGAGCCAAAUUGAAGCAAAACACAUUGUUGGAGUGUCAGAAUGCAUAGAUAACAGACAAAUAAGCGUUCUAUAGGUUUAUCUCGCUUAGUUGCUUACUCUUGAGUAGAACUGCAUGUUCACUCCAGAAAUAAGCACCUUUGUAAAAUGAGCCAAAUUGAAGCAAAACACAUUUUUGGAGUGUCAGAAUGCAUAGAUAACAGACAAAUAAGCGUUCUAUAGGUUUAUUUCGCUUAGUUGCUUACUCUAGAGUAGAACUGCAUGUUCAUUCAAUAAAUAAGCACCUUUGUAAAAUGAGCCAAAUUGAAGCAAAACACAUUGUUGGAGUGUCAGAAUGCAUACAAAGAAGACAAAUAAGCGUUCUAUGGGUUCAUUUCUCUUAUUUGCUUACUCUUGAGUAGAACUGCAUGUUCACUCCAGAAAUAAGCACUUUUGUAAAAUGAGCCAAAUUGAAGCAAAACACAUUGUUGGAGUGUCAGAAUGCAUAGAUAACAGACAAAUAAGCGUUCUAUAGGUUUAUUUCGCUUAGUUGCUUACUCUUGAGUAGAACUGCAUGUUCACUCCAGAAAUAAGCACCCUUGUAAAAUGAGCCAAAUUGAAGCAAAACACAUUGUUGGAGUGUCAGAAUGCAUAGAUAACAGACAAAUAAGCGUUCUAUAGGUUUAUUUCGCUUAGUUGCUUACUCUUGAGUAGAACUGCAUGUUCACUCCAGAAAUAAGCACCUUUGUAAAAUGAGCCAAAUUGAAGCAAAACAUAUUGUUGGAGUGUCAGAAUGCAUAGAAAGAAGACAAAUAAGCGUUCUAUGGGUUCAUUUCGCUUAUUUGCUUACUCCUGAGUAGAAAUGCAUGUGCACGCCAAGAAAUAAGCACCUUUGUAAAAUGAGCCAAAUUGAAGCAAAACAUAUUGGUGGAGUGCCAGAAUGCAUAGAUAACAGACAAAUAAGCGUUCUAUAGGUUUAUUUCGCUUAGUUGCUUACUCUUGAGUAGAACUGCAUGUUCACUCCAGAAAUAAGCACCUUUGUAAAAUGAGCCAAAUUGAAGCAAAACACAUUGUUGGAGUGUCAGAAUGCAUAGAUAACAGACAAAUAAGCGUUCUAUGGGUUCAUUUCGCUUAGUUGCUUACUCUUGAGUAGAACUGCAUGUUCACUCCAGAAAUAAGCACCUUUGUAAAAUGAGCCAAAUUGAAGCAAAACAUAUUGGUGGAGUGUCAGAAUGCAUAGAUAGAAGCCAAAUAAGCGUUCUAUAGGUUUAUUUCGCUCAGUUGCUUACUCUUGAGUAGAACUGCAUGUUCACUCCAGAAAUAAGCACCUUUGUAAAAUGAGCCAAAUUGAAGCAAAACACAUUGUUGGAGUGUCAGAAUGCAUAGAUAGCAGACAAAUAAGCGUUCUAUGGGUUCAUUUCGCUUAUUUGCUUACUCCUGAGUAGAAAUGCAUGUGCACGCCAAGAAAUAAGCACCUUUGUAAAAUGAGCCAAAUUGAAGCAAAACAGAUUGUUGGAGUGUCAGAAUGCAUAGAUAACAGACAAAUAAGCGUUCUAUAGGUUUAUUUCGCUUAGUUGCUUACUCUUGAGUAGAACUGCAUGUUCACUCCAGAAAUAAGCACCUUUGUAAAAUGAGCCAAAUUGAAGCAAAACACAUUGUUGGAGUGUCAGAAUGCAUAGAAAGAAGACAAAUAAGCGUUCUAUGGGUUCAUUUCGCUUAGUUGCUUACUCUUGAGUAGAACUGCAACUUCACUCAAUAAAUAAGCAACUUUCUAAAAUGAGCCAAAUUGAAGCAAAACAUAUUGGUGGAGUGUCAGAAUGCAUAGAUAGAAGCCAAAUAAGCGUUCUAUAGGUUUAUUUCGCUUAGUUGCUUACUCUAGAGUAGAACUGCAUGUUCAUUCAAUAAAUAAGCACCUUUGUAAAAUGAGCCAAAUUGAAGCAAAACACAUUGUUGGAGUGUCAGAAUGCAUAGAUAACAGACAAAUAAGCGUUCUAUAGGUUUAUUUCGCUUAGUUGCUUACUCUUGAGUAGAACUGCAUGUUCACUCCAGAAAUAAGCACUUUUGUAAAAUGAGCCAAAUUGAAGCAAAAGAUAUUGGUGGAGUGUCAGAAUGCAUAGACAGAAGCCAAAUAAGCGUUCUAUAGGUUUAUUUCGCUUAGUUGCUUACUCUUGAGUAGAACUACAAGUUCACUCCAGAAAUAAGCACCUUUGUAAAAUUAGCCAAACUGAAGCAAAACACAUUGUUGGAGUGUCAGAAUGCAUAGAUAACAGACAAAUAAGCGUUCUAUAGGUUUAUUUCGCUUAGUUGCAUACUCUUGAGUCGAACUGCAUGUUCACUCCAGAAAUAAGCACCUUUGUAAAAUGAGCCAAAUUGAAGCAAAACACAUUGUUGGAGUGUCAGAAUGCAUAGAUAACAGACAAAUAAGCGUUCUAUGGGUUCAUUUCGCUUAGUUGCUUACUCUUGAGUAGAACUGCAUGUUCACUCCAGAAAUAAGCACCUUUGUAAAAUGAGCCAAAUUGAAGCAAAACAUAUUGGUGGAGUGUCAGAAUGCAUAGAUAGAAGCCAAAUAAGCGUUCUAUAGGUUUAUUUCGCUCAGUUGCUUACUCUUGAGUAGAACUGCAUGUUCACUCCAGAAAUAAGCACCUUUGUAAAAUGAGCCAAAUUGAAGCAAAACACAUUGUUGGAGUGUCAGAAUGCAUAGAUAGCAGACAAAUAAGCGUUCUAUGGGUUCAUUUCGCUUAUUUGCUUACUCCUGAGUAGAAAUGCAUGUGCACGCCAAGAAAUAAGCACCUUUGUAAAAUGAGCCAAAUUGAAGCAAAACAGAUUGUUGGAGUGUCAGAAUGCAUAGAUAACAGACAAAUAAGCGUUCUAUAGGUUUAUUUCGCUUAGUUGCUUACUCUUGAGUAGAACUGCAAAUUCACUCAAUAAAUAAGCAACUUUCUAAAAUGAGCCAAAUUGAAGCAAAACAUAUUGGUGGAGUGUCAGAAUGCAUAGAUAGAAGCCAAAUAAGCGUUCUAUAGGUUUAUUUCGCUUAGUUGCUUACUCUAGAGUAGAACUGCAUGUUCAUUCAAUAAAUAAGCACCUUUGUAAAAUGAGCCAAAUUGAAGCAAAACACAUUGUUGGAGUGUCAGAAUGCAUAGAUAACAGACAAAUAAGCGUUCUAUAGGUUUAUUUCGCUUAGUUGCUUACUCUUGAGUAGAACUGCAUGUUCACUCCAGAAAUAAGCACUUUUGUAAAAUGAGCCAAAUUGAAGCAAAACACAUUGUUGGAGUGUCAGAAUGCAUAGAUAACAGACAAAUAAGCGUUCUAUAGGUUUAUCUCGCUUAGUUGCUUACUCUAGAGUAGAACUGCAUGUUCAUUCAAUAAAUAAGCACCUUUGUAAAAUGAGCCAAAUUGAAGCAAAACACAUUGUUGGAGUGUCAGAAUGCAUACAAAGAAGACAAAUAAGCGUUCUAUGGGUUCAUUUCUCUUAUUUGCUUACUCUUGAGUAGAACUGCAAGUUCACUCAAGAAAUAAGCACCCUUGUAAAAUGAGCCAAAUUGAAGCAAAACACAUUGUUGGAGUGUCAGAAUGCAUAGAUAACAGACAAAUAAGCGUUCUAUAGGUUUAUUUCGCUUAGUUGCUUACUCUUGAGUAGAACUGCAUGUUCACUCCAGAAAUAAGCACCCUUGUAAAAUGAGCCAAAUUGAAGCAAAACACAUUGUUGGAGUGUCAGAAUGCAUAGAUAACAGACAAAUAAGCGUUCUAUAGGUUUAUUUCGCUUAGUUGCUUACUCUUGAGUAGAACUGCAUGUUCACUCCAGAAAUAAGCACCUUUGUAAAAUGAGCCAAAUUGAAGCAAAACACAUUGUUGGAGUGUCAGAAUGCAUAGAUAACAGACAAAUAAGCGUUCUAUAGGUUUAUUUUGCUUAGUUGCUUACUCUUGAGUAGAACUGCAUGUUCACUCCAGAAAUAAGCACCUUUGUAAAAUGAGCCAAAUUGAAGCAAAACAUAUUGUUGGAGUGUCAGAAUGCAUAGAAAGAAGACAAAUAAGCGUUCUAUGGGUUCAUUUCGCUUAUUUGCUUACUCCUGAGUAGAAAUGCAUGUGCACGCCAAGAAAUAAGCACCUUUGUAAAAUGAGCCAAAUUGAAGCAAAACAGAUUGUUGGAGUGUCAGAAUGCAUAGAUAACAGACAAAUAAGCGUUCUAUAGGUUUAUUUCGCUUAGUUGCUUACUCUUGAGUAGAACUGCAUGUUCACUCCAGAAAUAAGCACCUUUGUAAAAUGAGCCAAAUUGAAGCAAAACACAUUGUUGGAGUGUCAGAAUGCAUAGAAAGAAGACAAAUAAGCAUUCUAUGGGUUCAUUUCGCUUAGUUGCUUACUCUUGAGUAGAACUGCAAGUUCACUCAAUAAAUAAGCAACUUUCUAAAAUGAGCCAAAUUGAAGCAAAACAUAUUGGUGGAGUGUCAGAAUGCAUAGAUAGAAGCCAAAUAAGCGUUCUAUAGGUUUAUUUCGCUUAGUUGCUUACUCUUGAGUAGAACUGCAAGUUCACUCAAUAAAUAAGCAACUUUCUAAAAUGAGCCAAAUUGAAGCAAAACAUAUUGUUGGAGUGUCAGAAUGCAUAGAAAGAAGACAAAUAAGCGUUCUAUAGGUUUAUUUCGCUUAGUUGCUUACUCUUGAGUAGAACUGCAUGUUCACUCCAGAAAUAAGCACUUUUGUAAAAUGAGCCAAAUUGAAGCAAAACACAUUGUUGGAGUGUCAGAAUGCAUAGAUAACAGACAAAUAAGCGUUCUAUAGGUUUAUCUCGCUUAGUUGCUUACUCUUGAGUAGAACUGCAUGUUCACUCCAGAAAUAAGCACCUUUGUAAAAUGAGCCAAAUUGAAGCAAAACACAUUGUUGGAGUGUCAGAAUGCAUAGAUAACAGACAAAUAAGCGUUCUAUAGGUUUAUUUCGCUUAGUUGCUUACUCUAGAGUAGAACUGCAUGUUCAUUCAAUAAAUAAGCACCUUUGUAAAAUGAGCCAAAUUGAAGCAAAACACAUUGUUGGAGUGUCAGAAUGCAUACAAAGAAGACAAAUAAGCGUUCUAUGGGUUCAUUUCUCUUAUUUGCUUACUCUUGAGUAGAACUGCAAGUUCACUCAAGAAAUAAGCACCCUUGUAAAAUGAGCCAAAUUGAAGCAAAACACAUUGUUGGAGUGUCAGAAUGCAUAGAUAACAGACAAAUAAGCGUUCUAUAGGUUUAUUUCGCUUAGUUGCUUACUCUUGAGUAGAACUGCAUGUUCACUCCAGAAAUAAGCACCCUUGUAAAAUGAGCCAAAUUGAAGCAAAACACAUUGUUGGAGUGUCAGAAUGCAUAGAUAACAGACAAAUAAGCAUUCUAUAGGUUUAUUUCGCUUAGUUGCUUACUCUUGAGUAGAACUGCAUGUUCACUCCAGAAAUAAGCACCUUUGUAAAAUGAGCCAAAUUGAAGCAAAACACAUUGUUGGAGUGUCAGAAUGCAUAGAUAACAGACAAAUAAGCGUUCUAUAGGUUUAUUUUGCUUAGUUGCUUACUCUUGAGUAGAACUGCAUGUUCACUCCAGAAAUAAGCACCUUUGUAAAAUGAGCCAAAUUGAAGCAAAACAUAUUGUUGGAGUGUCAGAAUGCAUAGAAAGAAGACAAAUAAGCGUUCUAUGGGUUCAUUUCGCUUAGUUGCUUACUCUUGAGUAGAACUGCAAGUUCACUCAAUAAAUAAGCAACUUUCUAAAAUGAGCCAAAUUGAAGCAAAACAUAUUGGUGGAGUGUCAGAAUGCAUAGAUAGAAGCCAAAUAAGCGUUCUAUAGGUUUAUUUCGCUUAGUUGCUUACUCUAGAGUAGAACUGCAUGUUCAUUCAAUAAAUAAGCACCUUUGUAAAAUGAGCCAAAUUGAAGCAAAACACAUUGUUGGAGUGUCAGAAUGCAUAGAUAACAGACAAAUAAGCGUUCUAUAGGUUUAUUUCGCUUAGUUGCUUACUCUUGAGUAGAACUGCAUGUUCACUCCAGAAAUAAGCACUUUUGUAAAAUGAGCCAAAUUGAAGCAAAACACAUUGUUGGAGUGUCAGAAUGCAUAGAUAACAGACAAAUAAGCGUUCUAUAGGUUUAUUUCGCUUAGUUGCUUACUCUUGAGUAGAACUGCAUGUUCACUCCAGAAAUAAGCACCUUUGUAAAAUGAGCCAAAUUGAAGCAAAACACAUUGUUGGAGUGUCAGAAUGCAUAGAUAACAGACAAAUAAGCGUUCUAUAGGUUUAUUUCGCUUAGUUGCUUACUCUUGAGUAGAACUGCAAGUUCACUCCAGAAAUAAGCACUUUUGUAAAAUGAGCCAAAUUGAAGCAAAACAUAUUGGUGGAGUGCCAGAAUGCAUAGAAAGAAGACAAAUAAGCGUUUUAUGGGUUCAUUUCGCUUAGUUGCUUACUCUUGAGUAGAACUGCAAGUUCACUCAAUAAAUAAGCAACUUUCUAAAAUGAGCCAAAUUGAAGCAAAACAUAUUGUUGGAGUGUCAGAAUGCAUAGAAAGAAGACAAAUAAGCGUUCUAUAGGUUUAUUUCGCUUAGUUGCUUACUCUUGAGUAGAACUGCAUGUUCACUCCAGAAAUAAGCACCUUUGUAAAAUGAGCCAAAUUGAAGCAAAACACAUUGUUGGAGUGUCAGAAUGCAUAGAUAACAGACAAAUAAGCGUUCUAUAGGUUUAUUUCGCUUAGUUGCUUACUCUUGAGUAGAACUGCAUGUUCACUCCAGAAAUAAGCACCUUUGUAAAAUGAGCCAAAUUGAAGCAAAACACAUUGUUGGAGUGUCAGAAUGCAUAGAAAGAAGACAAAUAAGCGUUCUAUGGGUUCAUUUUGCUUAGUUCCUUACUCUUGAGUAGAACUGCAAGUUCACUCAAUAAAUAGGCAACUUUCUAAAAUGAGCCAAAUUGAAGCAAAACAUAUUGGUGGAGUGUCAGAAUGCAUAGAUAGAAGCCAAAUAAGCGUUCUAUAGGUUUAUUUCGCUUAGUUGCUUUCUCUAGAGUAGAACUGCAUGUUCAUUCAAUAAAUAAGCACCUUUGUAAAAUGAGCCAAAUUGAAGCAAAACACAUUGUUGGAGUGUCAGAAUGCAUAGAUAACAGACAAAUAAGCGUUCUAUAGGUUUAUUUCGCUUAGUUGCUUACUCUUGAGUAGAACGGCAUGUUCACUCCAGAAAUAAGCACUUUUGUAAAAUGAGCCAAAUUGAAGCAAAACAUAUUGUUGGAGUGUCAGAAUGCAUAGAAAGAAGACAAAUUAGCGUUCUAUGGGUUCAUUUCUCUUAUUUGCUUACUCUUGAGUAGAACUGCAAGUUCACUCAAGAAAUAAGCACCCUUGUAAAAUGAGCCAAAUUGAAGCAAAACACAUUGUUGGAGUGUCAGAAUGCAUAGAUAACAGACAAAUAAGCGUUCUAUAGGUUUAUUUCGCUUAGUUGCUUACUCUUGAGUAGAACUGCAUGUUCACUCCAGAAAUAAGCACCUUUGUAAAAUGAGCCAAAUUGAAGCAAAACACAUUGUUGGAGUGUCAGAAUGCAUAGAUAACAGACAAAUAAGCGUUCUAUAGGUUUAUUUCGCUUAGUUGCUUACUCUUGAGGAGAACUGCAAGUUCACUCCAGAAAUAAGCACUUUUGUAAAAUGAGCCAAAUUGAAGCAAAACAUAUUGGUGGAGUGCCAGAAUGCAUAGAUAGAAGCCAAAUAAGCGUUCUAUAGGUUUAUUUUGCUUAGUUGCUUACUCUUGAGUAGAACUGCAAGUUCACUCAAUAAAUAAGCACCUUUGUAAAAUGAGCCAAAAUGAAGCAAAACACAUUGUUGGAGUGUCAGAAUGCAUAGAUAACAGACAAAUAAGCGUUCUAUAGGUUUAUUUCGCUUAGUUGCUUACUCUUGAGUAGAACUGCAUGUUCACUCCAGAAAUAAGCACCUUUGUAAAAUGAGCCAAAUUGAAGCAAAACAUAUUGUUGGAGUGUCAGAAUGCAUAGAAAGAAGACAAAUAAGCGUUCUAUAGGUUUAUUUCGCUUAGUUGCUUACUCUUGAGUAGAACUGCAAGUUCACUCAAUAAAUAAGCACCUUUGUAAAAUGAGCCAAAUUGAAGCAAAACAUAUUGUUGGAGUGUCAGAAUGCAUAGAAAGAAGACAAAUAAGCGUUCUAUGGGUUCAUUUCGCUUAGUUGCUUACUCUUGAGUAGAACUGCAAGUUCACUCAAGAAAUAGGCACCCUUGUAAAAUGAGCCAAACUGAAGCAAAACACAUUGUUGGAGUGUCAGAAUGCAUAGAUAACAGACAAAUAAGCGUUCUAUAGGUUUAUUUCGCUCAGUUGCUUACUAUUGAGUAGAACUGCAUGUUCACUCCAGAAAUAAGCACUUUUGUAAAAUGAGCCAAAUUGAAGCAAAACAUAUUGGUGGAGUGUCAGAAUGCAUAGACAGAAGCCAAAUAAGCGUUCUAUAGGUUUAUUUCGCUUAGUUGCUUACUCUUGAGUAGAACUACAAGUUCACUCCAGAAAUAAGCACCUUUGUAAAAUUAGCCAAACUGAAGCAAAACACAUUGUUGGAGUGUCAGAAUGCAUAGAAAGAAGGCAAAUAAGCGUUCUAUGGGUUCAUUUCGCUUAGUUGCUUACUUUUGAGUAGAACUGCAAGUUCACUCCAGAAAUAAGCACCUUUGUAAAAUGAGCCAAAUUGAAGCAAAAAACAUUGUUGGAGUGUCAGAAUGCAUAGAAAGAGGAUAAAUAAGCGUUCUAUACGUUUAUUUCGCUUAUUUGCUUACUCUUGAGUAGGAAUGAAUGUGCACUCCAGAAAUAAGCACCUUUGUAAAAUGAGCCAAAUUGAAGCAAAACACAUUGUUGGAGUGUCGGAAUGCAUAGAUAGAAGAUAAAUAAGCGUUCUAUACGUUUAUUUCGCAUAGUUGCUUACUCUUGAGUAGAACUGCAAAUUCACUCCAGAAAUAAGCAACUUUCUAAAAUGAGCCAAAUUGAAGCAAAACACAUUGUUGGAGUGUCAGGAUGCAUAGAAAGAAGACAAAUAGGCGUUCUAUGGGUUCAUUUCGCUUAGUUGCUUACUCUUGAGUAGAACUGCAAGUUCACUCAAGAAAUAAGCACCUUUGUAAAAUGAGCCAAACUGAAGCAAAACACAUUGUUGGAGUUUCAGAAUGCAUAGAUAACAGACAAAUAAGCGUUCUAUAGGUUUAUUUCUCUUAGUUGCUUACUCUUGAGUAGAACUGAAUGUUCACUCCAGAAAUAAGCACUUUUGUAAAAUGAGCCAAAUUGAAGCAAAACAUAUUGGUGGAGUAUCAGGAUGCAUAGUUAGAAGACAAAUAAGCGUUCUAUAGGUUUAUUUCGCUUAGUUGCUUACUCUUGAGUAGAACUGCAUGUUCACUCAAGAAAUAAGCACCCUUGUAAAAUGAGCCAAAUUGAAGCAAAACACAUUGUUGGGGUGUCAGAAUGCAUAGAAAGAAGACAAAUAUGCGUUCUAUACGUUUAUAAAGCUUAUUUGCUUACUCUUGAGUAGAAAUGCAUGUGCACUCCAGAAAUAAGCAACUUUCUAAAAUGAGCCAAAUUGAAGCAAAACAUAUUGGUAGAGUGUCAGAAUGCAUAGAUAGAAGCCAAAUAAGCGUUCUAUAGGUUUAUUUCGCUUAGUUGCUUACUCUAGAGUAGAACUGCAUGUUCACUCCAGAAAUAAGCACCUUUGUAAAAUUAGCCAAAUUGAAGCAAAACACAUUGUUGGAGUGUCAGAAUGCAUAGAUAGCAGACAAAUAAGCGUUCUAUGGGUUCAUUUCGCUUAUUUGCUUACUCCUGAGUAGAAAUGCAUGUGCACGCCAAGAAAUAAGCACCUUUGUAAAAUGAGCCAAAUUGAAGCAAAACAGAUUGUUGGAGUGUCAGAAUGCAUAGAUAACAGACAAAUAAGCGUUCUAUAGGUUUAUUUCGCUUAGUUGCUUACUCUUGAGUAGAACUGCAUGUUCACUCCAGAAAUAAGCACCUUUGUAAAAUGAGCCAAAUUGAAGCAAAACACAUUGUUGGAGUGUCAGAAUGCAUAGGAAGAAGACAAAUAAGCGUUCUAUGGGUUCAUUUCACUUAGUUGCUUACUCUUGAGUAGAACUGCAAGUUCACUCAAUAAAUAAGCAACUUUCUAAAAUGAGCCAAAUUGAAGCAAAACAUAUUGGUGGAGUGUCAGAAUGCAUAGAUAGAAGCCAAAUAAGCGUUCUAUAGGUUUAUUUCGCUUAGUUGCUUACUCUAGAGUAGAACUGCAUGUUCAUUCAAUAAAUAAGCACCUUUGUAAAAUGAGCGAAAUUGAAGCAAAACACAUUGUUGGAGUGUCAGAAUGCAUAGAUAACAGACAAAUAAGCGUUCUAUAGGUUUAUUUCGCUUAGUUGCUUACUCUUGAGUAGAACUGCAUGUUCACUCCAGAAAUAAGCACUUUUGUAAAAUGAGCCAAAUUGAAGCAAAACACAUUGUUGGAGUGUCAGAAUGCAUAGAUAACAGACAAAUAAGCGUUCUAUAGGUUUAUCUCGCUUAGUUGCUUACUCUUGAGUAGAACUGCAUGUUCACUCCAGAAAUAAGCACCUUUGUAAAAUGAGCCAAAUUGAAGCAAAACACAUUGUUGGAGUGUCAGAAUGCAUAGAUAACAGACAAAUAAGCGUUCUAUAGGUUUAUUUCGCUUAGUUGCUUACUCUAGAGUAGAACUGCAUGUUCAUUCAAUAAAUAAGCACCUUUGUAAAAUGAGCCAAAUUGAAGCAAAACACAUUGUUGGAGUGUCAGAAUGCAUACAAAGAAGACAAAUAAGCGUUCUAUGGGUUCAUUUCUCUUAUUUGCUUACUCUUGGGUAGAACUGCAAGUUCACUCAAGAAAUAAGCACCCUUGUAAAAUGAGCCAAAUUGAAGCAAAACACAUUGUUGGAGUGUCAGAAUGCAUAGAUAACAGACAAAUAAGCGUUCUAUAGGUUUAUUUCGCAUAGUUGCUUACUCUUGAGUAGAACUGCAUGUUCACUCCAGAAAUAAGCACCCUUGUAAAAUGAGCCAAAUUGAAGCAAAACACAUUGUUGGAGUGUCAGAAUGCAUAGAUAACAGACAAAUAAGCGUUCUAUAGGUUUAUUUUGCUUAGUUGCUUACUCUUGAGUAGAACUGCAUGUUCACUCCAGAAAUAAGCACCUUUGUAAAAUGAGCCAAAUUGAAGCAAAACAUAUUGUUGGAGUGUCAGAAUGCAUAGAAAGAAGACAAAUAAGCGUUCUAUGGGUUCAUUUCGCUUAUUUGCUUACUCCUGAGUAGAAAUGCAUGUGCACGCCAAGAAAUAAGCACCUUUGUAAAAUGAGCCAAAUUGAAGCAAAACAGAUUGUUGGAGUGUCAGAAUGCAUAGAUAACAGACAAAUAAGCGUUCUAUAGGUUUAUUUCGCUUAGUUGCUUACUCUUGAGUAGAACUGCAUGUUCACUCCAGAAAUAAGCACCUUUGUAAAAUGAGCCAAAUUGAAGCAAAACACAUUGUUGGAGUGUCAGAAUGCAUAGAAAGAAGACAAAUAAGCGUUCUAUGGGUUCAUUUCGCUUAGUUGCUUACUCUUGAGUAGAACUGCAAGUUCACUCAAUAAAUAAGCAACUUUCUAAAAUGAGCCAAAUUGAAGCAAAACAUAUUGGUGGAGUGUCAGAAUGCAUAGAUAGAAGCCAAAUAAGCGUUCUAUAGGUUUAUUUCGCUUAGUUGCUUACUCUAGAGUAGAACUGCAUGUUCAUUCAAUAAAUAAGCACCUUUGUAAAAUGAGCCAAAUUGAAGCAAAACACAUUGUUGGAGUGUCAGAAUGCAUAGAUAACAGACAAAUAAGCGUUCUAUAGGUUUAUUUCGCUUAGUUGCUUACUCUUGAGUAGAACUGCAUGUUCACUCCAGAAAUAAGCACUUUUGUAAAAUGAGCCAAAUUGAAGCAAAACACAUUGUUGGAGUGUCAGAAUGCAUAGAUAACAGACAAAUAAGCGUUCUAUAGGUUUAUUUCGCUUAGUUGCUUACUCUUGAGUAGAACUGCAUGUUCACUCCAGAAAUAAGCACCUUUGUAAAAUGAGCCAAAUUGAAGCAAAACACAUUGUUGGAGUGUCAGAAUGCAUAGAUAACAGACAAAUAAGCGUUCUAUAGGUUUAUUUCGCUUAGUUGCUUACUCUUGAGUAGAACUGCAAGUUCACUCCAGAAAUAAGCACUUUUGUAAAAUGAGCCAAAUUGAAGCAAAACAUAUUGGUGGAGUGCCAGAAUGCAUAGAAAGAAGACAAAUAAGCGUUCUAUGGGUUCAUUUCGCUUAGUUGCUUACUCUUGAGUAGAACUGCAAGUUCACUCAAUAAAUAAGCAACUUUCUAAAAUGAGCCAAAUUGAAGCAAAACAUAUGUUGGAGUGUCAGAAUGCAUAGAAAGAAGACAAAUAAGCGUUCUAUAGGUUUAUUUCGCUUAGUUGCUUACUCUUGAGUAGAACUGCAUGUUCACUCCAGAAAUAAGCACCUUUGUAAAAUGAGCCAAAUUGAAGCAAAACAAAUUGUUGGAGUGUCAGAAUGCAUAGAUAACAGACAAAUAAGCGUUCUAUGGGUUCAUUUUGCUUAGUUCCUUACUCUUGAGUAGAACUGCAAGUUCACUCAAUAAAUAGGCAACUUUCUAAAAUGAGCCAAAUUGAAGCAAAACAUAUUGGUGGAGUGUCAGAAUGCAUAGAUAGAAGCCAAAUAAGCGUUCUAUAGGUUUAUUUCGCUUAGUUGCUUUCUCUAGAGUAGAACUGCAUGUUCAUUCAAUAAAUAAGCACCUUUGUAAAAUGAGCCAAAUUGAAGCAAAACACAUUGUUGGAGUGUCAGAAUGCAUAGAUAACAGACAAAUAAGCGUUCUAUAGGUUUAUUUCGCUUAGUUGCUUACUCUUGAGUAGAACGGCAUGUUCACUCCAGAAAUAAGCACUUUUGUAAAAUGAGCCAAAUUGAAGCAAAACAUAUUGUUGGAGUGUCAGAAUGCAUAGAAAGAAGACAAAUAAGCGUUCUAUGGGUUCAUUUCUCUUAUUUGCUUACUCUUGAGUAGAACUGCAAGUUCACUCAAGAAAUAAGCACCCUUGUAAAAUGAGCCAAAUUGAAGCAAAACACAUUGUUGGAGUGUCAGAAUGCAUAGAUAACAGACAAAUAAGCGUUCUAUAGGUUUAUUUCGCUUAGUUGCUUACUCUUGAGUAGAACUGCAUGUUCACUCCAGAAAUAAGCACCUUUGUAAAAUGAGCCAAAUUGAAGCAAAACACAUUGUUGGAGUGUCAGAAUGCAUAGAUAACAGACAUAUAAGCGUUCUAUAGGUUUAUUUCGCUUAGUUGCUUACUCUUGAGUAGAACUGCAAGUUCACUCCAGAAAUAAGCACUUUUGUAAAAUGAGCCAAAUUGAAGCAAAACAUAUUGGUGGAGUGCCAGAAUGCAUAGAUAGAAGCCAAAUAAGCGUUCUAUAGGUUUAUUUUGCUUAGUUGCUUACUCUUGAGUAGAACUGCAAGUUCACUCAAUAAAUAAGCACCUUUGUAAAAUGAGCCAAAAUGAAGCAAAACACAUUGUUGGAGUGUCAGAAUGCAUAGAUAACAGACAAAUAAGCGUUCUAUAGGUUUAUUUCGCUUAGUUGCUUACUCUUGAGUAGAACUGCAUGUUCACUCCAGAAAUAAGCACCUUUGUAAAAUGAGCCAAAUUGAAGCAAAACAUAUUGUUGGAGUGUCAGAAUGCAUAGAAAGAAGACAAAUAAGCGUUCUAUGGGUUCAUUUCGCUUAGUUGCUUACUCUUGAGUAGAACUGCAAGUUCACUCAAGAAAUAGGCACCCUUGUAAAAUGAGCCAAACUGAAGCAAAACACAUUGUUGGAGUGUCAGAAUGCAUAGAUAACAGACAAAUAAGCGUUCUAUAGGUUUAUUUCGCUCAGUUGCUUACUCUUGAGUAGAACUGCAUGUUCACUCCAGAAAUAAGCACUUUUGUAAAAUGAGCCAAAUUGAAGCAAAACAUAUUGGUGGAGUGUCAGAAUGCAUAGACAGAAGCCAAAUAAGCGUUCUAUAGGUUUAUUUCGCUUAGUUGCUUACUCUUGAGUAGGAAUGAAUGUGCACUCCAGAAAUAAGCACCUUUGUAAAAUGAGCCAAAUUGAAGCAAAACACAUUGUUGGAGUGUCGGAAUGCAUAGAUAGAAGAUAAAUAAGCGUUCUAUACGUUUAUUUCGCAUAGUUGCUUACUCUUGAGUAGAACUGCAAAUUCACUCCAGAAAUAAGCAACUUUCUAAAAUGAGCCAAAUUGAAGCAAAACACAUUGUUGGAGUGUCAGAAUGCAUAGAAAGAAGACAAAUAGGCGUUCUAUGGGUUCAUUUCGCUUAGUUGCUUACUCUUGAGUAGAACUGCAAGUUCACUCAAGAAAUAAGCACCUUUGUAAAAUGAGCCAAACUGAAGCAAAACACAUUGUUGGAGUGUCAGAAUGCAUAGAUAACAGACAAAUAAGCGUUCUAUAGGUUUAUUUCUCUUAGUUGCUUACUCUUGAGUAGAACUGAAUGUUCACUCCAGAAAUAAGCACUUUUGUAAAAUGAGCCAAAUUGAAGCAAAACAUAUUGGUGGAGUGUCAGGAUGCAUAGUUAGAAGACAAAUAAGCGUUCUAUAGGUUUAUUUCGCUUAGUUGCUUACUCUUGAGUAGAACUGCAUGUUCACUCAAGAAAUAAGCACCCUUGUAAAAUGAGCCAAAUUGAAGCAAAACACAUUGUUGGGGUGUCAGAAUGCAUAGAAAGAAGACAAAUAAGCGUUCUAUACGUUUAUAAAGCUUAUUUGCUUACUCUUGAGUAGAAAUGCAUGUGCACUCCAGAAAUAAGCAACUUUCUAAAAUGAGCCAAAUUGAAGCAAAACAUAUUGGUAGAGUGUCAGAAUGCAGAGAUAGAAGCCAAAUAAGCGUUCUAUAGGUUUAUUUCGCUUAGUUGCUUACUCUAGAGUAGAACUGCAUGUUCACUCCAGAAAUAAGCACCUUUGUAAAAUGAGCCAAACAGAAGCAAAACACAUUGUUGGAGUGUCAGAAUGCCUAGAUAACAGACAAAUAAGCGUUUUAUAGGUUUAUUUCGCUCAGUUGCUUACUCUUGAGUAGAACUGAAUGUUCACUCCAGAAAUAAGCACUUUUGUAAAAUGAGCCAAAUUGAAGCAAAACAUCUUGGUGGAGUGUCAGAAUGCAUAGAUAGAAGACAAAUAAGCGUUCUAUAGGUUUAUUUCGCUUAGUUGCUUACUCUUGAGUAGAACUGCAUGUUCACUCAAGAAAUAAGCACCCUUGUAAAAUGAGCCAAAUUGAAGCAAAACACAUUGUUGGGGUGUCAGAAUGCAUAGAAAGAAGACAAAUAAGCGUUCUAUACGUUUACAAAGCUUAUUUGCUUACUCUUGAGUAGAACUGCAAGUUCACUCCAGAAAUAAGCACCUUUGUAAAAUGAGCCAAAUUGAAGCAAAAAACAUUGUUGGAGUGUCAGAAUGCAUAGAAAGAGGAUAAAUAAGCGUUCUAUACGUUUAUUUCGCUUAUUUGCUUACUCUUGAGUAGGAAUGAAUGUGCACUCCAGAAAUAAGCACCUUUGUAAAAUGAGCCAAAUUGAAGCAAAACACAUUGUUGGAGUGUCGGAAUGCAUAGAUAGAAGAUAAAUAAGCGUUCUAUACGUUUAUUUCGCAUAGUUGCUUACUCUUGAGUAGAACUGCAAAUUCACUCCAGAAAUAAGCAACUUUCUAAAAUGAGCCAAAUUGAAGCAAAACACAUUGUUGGAGUGUCAGAAUGCAUAGAAAGAAGACAAAUAGGCGUUCUAUGGGUUCAUUUCGCUUAGUUGCUUACUCUUGAGUAGAACUGCAAGUUCACUCAAGAAAUAAGCACCUUUGUAAAAUGAGCCAAACUGAAGCAAAACACAUUGUUGGAGUGUCAGAAUGCAUAGAUAACAGACAAAUAAGCGUUCUAUAGGUUUAUUUCUCUUAGUUGCUUACUCUUGAGUAGAACUGAAUGUUCACUCCAGAAAUAAGCACUUUUGUAAAAUGAGCCAAAUUGAAGCAAAACAUAUUGGUGGAGUGUCAGGAUGCAUAGUUAGAAGACAAAUAAGCGUUCUAUAGGUUUAUUUCGCUUAGUUGCUUACUCUUGAGUAGAACUGCAUGUUCACUCAAGAAAUAAGCACCCUUGUAAAAUGAGCCAAAUUGAAGCAAAACACAUUGUUGGGGUGUCAGAAUGCAUAGAAAGAAGACAAAUAAGCGUUCUAUACGUUUAUAAAGCUUAUUUGCUUACUCUUGAGUAGAAAUGCAUGUGCACUCCAGAAAUAAGCAACUUUCUAAAAUGAGCCAAAUUGAAGCAAAACAUAUUGGUAGAGUGUCAGAAUGCAUAGAUAGAAGCCAAAUAAGCGUUCUAUAGGUUUAUUUCGCUUAGUUGCUUACUCUAGAGUAGAACUGCAUGUUCACUCCAGAAAUAAGCACCUUUGUAAAAUGAGCCAAACAGAAGCAAAACACAUUGUUGGAGUGUCAGAAUGCCUAGAUAACAGACAAAUAAGCGUUUUAUAGGUUUAUUUCGCUCAGUUGCUUACUCUUGAGUAGAACUGAAUGUUCACUCCAGAAAUAAGCACUUUUGUAAAAUGAGCCAAAUUGAAGCAAAACAUCUUGGUGGAGUUUCAGAAUGCAUAGAUAGAAGACAAAUAAGCGUUCUAUAGGUUUAUUUCGCUUAGUUGCUUACUCUUGAGUAGAACUGCAUGUUCACUCAAGAAAUAAGCACCCUUGUAAAAUGAGCCAAAUUGAAGCAAAACACAUUGUUGGGGUGUCAGAAUGCAUAGAAAGAAGACAAAUAAGCGUUCUAUACGUUUAUAAAGCUUAUUUGCUUACUCUUGAGUAGAAAUGCAUGUGCAAUCCAGAAAUAAGCAACUUUCUAAAAUGAGCCAAAUUGAAGCAAAACAUAUUGGUAGAGUGUCAGGAUGCAUAGAUAGAAGCCAAAUAAGCGUUCUAUAGGUUUAUUUCGCUUAGUUGCUUACUCUUGAGUAGAACUGCAAGUUCACUCAAUAAAUAAGCACCUUUGUAAAAUGAGCCAAAUUGAAGCAAAACAUAUUGUUGGAGUGUCAGAAUGCAUAGAAAGAAGACAAAUAAGCGUUCUAUGGGUUCAUUUCGCUUAGUUGCUUACUCUUGAGUAGAACUGCAAGUUCACUCAAGAAAUAAGCACCCUUGUAAAAUGAACCAAACUGAAACAAAACACAUUUUUGGAGUGUCAGAAUGCAUAGAUAACAGACAAAUAAGCGUUCUAUAGGUUUAUUUCGCUUAGUUGCUUACUCUUGAGUGGAACUGCAUGUUCACUCCAGAAAUGAGCACUUUUGUAAAAUGAGCCAAAUGGAAGCAAAACAUAUUGGUGGAGUGUCAGAAUGCAUAGAAAGAAGACAAAUAAGCGUUCUAUGGGUUCAUUUCGCUUAGUUGCUUACUCUUGAGUAGAACUGCAAGUUCACUCAAUAAAUAAGCAACUUUCUAAAAUGAGCCAAAUUGAAGCAAAACAUAUUGGUGGAGUGUCAGAAUGCAUAGAUAGAAGCCAAAUAAGCGUUCUAUAGGUUUAUUUCGCUUAGUUGCUUACUCUUGAGUAGAACUACAAGUUCACUCCAGAAAUAAGCACCUUUGUAAAAUGAGCCAAAUUGAAGCAAAACACAUUGUUUGAGUGUCAGAAUGCAUAGAUAGAGGAUAAAUAAGCGUUCUAUACGUUUAUUUCGCAUAGUUGCUUACUCUUGAGUAGGAAUGCAUGCACUCCAGAAAUAAGCACCUUUGUAAAAUGAGCCAAAUUGAAGCAAAACAUAUUGUUGGAGUGUCAGAAUGCAUAGAUAACAGACAAAUAAGCGUUCUAUAGGUUUAUUUCACUUAGUUGCUUACUCUUGAGUGGAACUGCAUGUUCACUCCAGAAAUAAGCACUUUUGUAAAAUGAGCUAAAUUGAAGCAAAACAUAUUGGUGGAGUGUCAGAAUGCAUAGAUAGAAGCCAAAUAAGCGUUCUAUAGGUUUAUUUCGCUUAGUUGCUUACUAUAGAGUAGAACUACAAGUUCACUCCAGAAAUAAGCACUUUUGUAAAAUGAGCCAAAUUGAAGCAAAACACAUUGUUGGGGUGUCAGAAUGCAUAGAAAGAAGACAAAUAAGCGUUCUAUGGGUUCAUUUUGCUUAGUUCCUUACUCUUGAGUAGAACUGCAAUUUCACUCAAUAAAUAAGCAACUUUCUAAAAUGAGCCAAAUUGAAGCAAAACAUAUUGGUGGAGUGUCAGAAUGCAUAGAUAGAAGCCAAAUAAGCGUUCUAUAGGUUUAUUUCGCUUAGUUGCUUUCUCUAGAGUAGAACUGCAUGUUCAUUCAAUAAAUAAGCACCUUUGUAAAAUGAGCCAAAUUGAAGCAAAACACAUUGUUGGAGUGUCAGAAUGCAUAGAUAACAGACAAAUAAGCGUUCUAUAGGUUUAUUUCGCUUAGUUGCUUACUCUUGAGUAGAACGGCAUGUUCACUCCAGAAAUGAGCACUUUUGUAAAAUGAGCCAAAUUGAAGCAAAACACAUUGUUGGAGUGUCAGAAUGCAUAGAUAACAGACAAAUAAGCGUUCUAUAGGUUUAUUUCUCUUAUUUGCUUACUCUUGAGUAGAACUGCAAGUUCACUCAAGAAAUAAGCACCCUUGUAAAAUGAGCCAAAUUGAAGCAAAACACAUUGUUGGAGUGUCAGAAUGCAUAGAUAACAGACAAAUAAGCGUUCUAUAGGUUUAUUUCGCUUAGUUGCUUACUCUUGAGUAGAACUGCAUGUUCACUCCAGAAAUAAGCACCUUUGUAAAAUGAGCCAAAUUGAAGCAAAACACAUUGUUGGAGUGUCAGAAUGCAUAGAUAACAGACAAAUAAGCGUUCUAUGGGUUUAUUUCGCUUAGUUGCUUACUCUUGAGUAGAACUGCAAGUUCACUCCAGAAAUAAGCACCUUUGUAAAAUGAGCCAAAAUGAAGCAAAACACAUUGUUGGAGUGUCAGAAUGCAUAGAUAACAGACAAAUAAGCGUUCUAUGGGUUCAUUUCGCUUAGUUGCUUACUCUUGAGUAGAACUGCAAGUUCACUCAAGAAAUAGGCACCCUUGUAAAAUGAGCCAAACUGAAGCAAAACACAUUGUUGGAGUGUCAGAAUGCAUAGAUAACAGACAAAUAAGCGUUCUAUAGGUUUAUUUCGCUCAGUUGCUUACUCUUGAGUAGAACUGAAUGUUCACUCCAGAAAUAAGCACUUUUGUAAAAUGAGCCAAAUUGAAGCAAAACAUCUUGGUGGAGUGUCAGAAUGCAUAGACAGAAGCCAAAUAAGCGUUCUAUAGGUUUAUUUCGCUUAGUUGCUUACUCUUGAGUAGAACUACAAGUUCACUCCAGAAAUAAGCACCUUUGUAAAAUUAGCCAAACUGAAGCAAAACACAUUGUUGGAGUGUCAGAAUGCAUAGAUAACAGACAAAUAAGCGUUCUAUAGGUUUAUUUCGCUCAGUUGCUUACUCUUGAGUAGAACUGCAUGUUCACUCCAGAAAUAAGCACUUUUGUAAAAUGAGCCAAAUUGAAGCAAAACAUAUUGGUGGAGUGUCAGAAUGCAUAGAAAGAAGGCAAAUAAGCGUUCUAUGGGUUCAUUUCGCUUAGUUGCUUACUCUUGAGUAGAACUGCAAGUUCACUCCAGAAAUAAGCACCUUUGUAAAAUGAGCCAAAUUGAAGCAAAAAACAUUGUUGGAGUGUCAGAAUGCAUAGAAAGAGGAUAAAUAAGCGUUCUAUACGUUUAUUUCGCUUAUUUGCUUACUCUUGAGUAGGAAUGAAUGUGCACUCCAGAAAUAAGCACCUUUGUAAAAUGAGCCAAAUUGAAGCAAAACACAUUAUUGGAGUGUCGGAAUGCAUAGAUAGAAGAUAAAUAAGCGUUCUAUACGUUUAUUUCGCAUAGUUGCUUACUCUUGAGUAGAACUGCAAAUUCACUCCAGAAAUAAGCAACUUUCUAAAAUGAGCCAAAUUGAAGCAAAACACAUUGUUGGAGUGUCAGAAUGCAUAGAAAGAAGACAAAUAGGCGUUCUAUGGGUUCAUUUCGCUUAGUUGCUUACUCUUGAGUAGAACUGCAAGUUCACUCAAGAAAUAAGCACCUUUGUAAAAUGAGCCAAACUGAAGCAAAACACAUUGUUGGAGUGUCAGAAUGCAUAGUUAGAAGACAAAUAAGCGUUCUAUAGGUUUAUUUCGCUUAGUUGCUUACUCUUGAGUAGAACUGCAUGUUCACUCAAGAAAUAAGCACCCUUGUAAAAUGAGCCAAAUUGAAGCAAAACACAUUGUUGGGGUGUCAGAAUGCAUAGAAAGAAGACAAAUAAGCGUUCUAUACGUUUAUAAAGCUUAUUUGCUUACUCUUGAGUAGAAAUGCAUGUGCACUCCAGAAAUAAGCAACUUUCUAAAAUGAGCCAAAUUGAAGCAAAACAUAUUGGUAGAGUGUCAGAAUGCAUAGAUAGAAUCCAAAUAAGCGUUCUAUAGGUUUAUUUCGCUUAGUUGCUUACUCUAGAGUAGAACUGCAUGUUCACUCCAGAAAUAAGCACCUUUGUAAAAUGAGCCAAACAGAAGCAAAACACAUUGUUGGAGUGUCAGAAUGCCUAGAUAACAGACAAAUAAGCGUUUUAUAGGUUUUUUUCGCUCAGUUGCUUACUCUUGAGUAGAACUGAAUGUUCACUCCAGAAAUAAGCACUUUUGUAAAAUGAGCCAAAUUGAAGCAAAACAUCUUGGUGGAGUGUCAGAAUGCAGAGAUAGAAGACAAAUAAGCGUUCUAUAGGUUUAUUUCGCUUAGUUGCUUACUCUUGAGUAGAACUGCAUGUUCACUCAAGAAAUAAGCACCCUUGUAAAAUGAGCCAAAUUGAAGCAAAACACAUUGUUGGGGUGUCAGAAUGCAUAGAAAGAAGACAAAUAAGCGUUCUAUACGUUUAUAAAGCUUAUUUGCUUACUCUUGAGUAGAAAUGCAUGUGCAAUCCAGAAAUAAGCAACUUUCUAAAAUGAGCCAAAUUGAAGCAAAACAUAUUGGUAGAGUGUCAGGAUGCAUAGAUAGAAGCCAAAUAAGCGUUCUAUAGGUUUAUUUCGCUUAGUUGCUUACUCUUGAGUAGAACUGCAAGUUCACUCAAUAAAUAAGCACCUUUGUAAAAUGAGCCAAAUUGAAGCAAAACAUAUUGUUGGAGUGUCAGAAUGCAUAGAAAGAAGACAAAUAAGCGUUCUAUGGGUUCAUUUCGCUUAGUUGCUUACUCUUGAGUAGAACUGCAAGUUCACUCAAGAAAUAAGCACCCUUGUAAAAUGAGCCAAACUGAAGCAAAACACAUUUUUGGAGUGUCAGAAUGCAUAGAUAACAGACAAAUAAGCGUUCUAUAGGUUUAUUUCGCUUAGUUGCUUACUCUUGAGUGGAACUGCAUGUUCACUCCAGAAAUGAGCACUUUUGUAAAAUGAGCCAAAUGGAAGCAAAACAUAUUGGUGGAGUGUCAGAAUGCAUAGAAAGAAGACAAAUAAGCGUUCUAUGGGUUCAUUUCGCUUAGUUGCUUACUCUUGAGUAGAACUGCAAGUUCACUCAAUAAAUAAGCAACUUUCUAAAAUGAGCCAAAUUGAAGCAAAACAUAUUGGUGGAGUGUCAGAAUGCAUAGAUAGAAGCCAAAUAAGCGUUCUAUAGGUUUAUUUCGCUUAGUUGCUUACUCUUGAGUAGGAAUGCAUGCACUCCAGAAAUAAGCACCUUUGUAAAAUGAGCCAAAUUGAAGCAAAACAUAUUGUUGGAGUGUCAGAAUGCAUAGAUAACAGACAAAUAAGCGUUCUAUAGGUUUAUUUCACUUAGUUGCUUACUCUUGAGUGGAACUGCAUGUUCACUCCAGAAAUAAGCACUUUUGUAAAAUGAGCCAAAUUGAAGCAAAACAUAUUGGUGGAGUGUCAGAAUGCAUAGAUAGAAGCCAAAUAAGCGUUCUAUAGGUUUAUUUCGCUUAGUUGCUUACUAUAGAGUAGAACUACAAGUUCACUCCAGAAAUAAGCACUUUUGUAAAAUGAGCCAAAUUGAAGCAAAACACAUUGUUGGGGUGUCAGAAUGCAUAGAAAGAAGACAAAUAAGCGUUCUAUGGGUUCAUUUCGCUUAUUUGCUUACUCUUGAGUAGAACUGCAAGUUCACUCAAGAAAUAAGCACCCUUGUAAAAUGAGCCAAAUUGAAGCAAAACACAUUGUUGGAGUGUCAGAAUGCAUAGAUAACAGACAAAUAAGCGUUCUAUAGGUUUAUUUCUCUUAGUUGCUUACUCUUGAGUGGAACUGCAUGUUCACUCAAGAAAUAAGCACCCUUGUAAAAUGAGCCAAAUUGAAGCAAAACACAUUGUUGGGGUGUCAGAUGCAUAGAAAGAAGACAAAUAAGCGUUCUAUACGUUUAUUUCGCUUAGUUGCUUACUCUUGAGUAGAACUGCAUGUUCACUCCAGAAAUAAGCACCUUUGUAAAAUGAGCCAAACAGAAGCAAAACACAUUGUUGGAGUGUCAGAAUGCCUAGAUAACAGACAAAUAAGCGUUUUAUAGGUUUUUUUCGCUCAGUUGCUUACUCUUGAGUAGAACUGAAUGUUCACUCCAGAAAUAAGCACUUUUGUAAAAUGAGCCAAAUUGAAGCAAAACAUCUUGGUGGAGUGUCAGAAUGCAGAGAUAGAAGACAAAUAAGCGUUCUAUAGGUUUAUUUCGCUUAGUUGCUUACUCUUGAGUAGAACUGCAUGUUCACUCAAGAAAUAAGCACCCUUGUAAAAUGAGCCAAAUUGAAGCAAAACACAUUGUUGGGGUGUCAGAAUGCAUAGAAAGAAGACAAAUAAGCGUUCUAUACGUUUAUAAAGCUUAUUUGCUUACUCUUGAGUAGAAAUGCAUGUGCAAUCCAGAAAUAAGCAACUUUCUAAAAUGAGCCAAAUUGAAGCAAAACAUAUUGGUAGAGUGUCAGGAUGCAUAGAUAGAAGCCAAAUAAGCGUUCUAUAGGUUUAUUUCGCUUAGUUGCUUACUCUUGAGUAGAACUGCAAGUUCACUCAAUAAAUAAGCACCUUUGUAAAAUGAGCCAAAUUGAAGCAAAACAUAUUGUUGGAGUGUCAGAAUGCAUAGAAAGAAGACAAAUAAGCGUUCUAUGGGUUCAUUUCGCUUAGUUGCUUACUCUUGAGUAGAACUGCAAGUUCACUCAAGAAAUAAGCACCCUUGUAAAAUGAGCCAAACUGAAGCAAAACACAUUUUUGGAGUGUCAGAAUGCAUAGAUAACAGACAAAUAAGCGUUCUAUAGGUUUAUUUCGCUUAGUUGCUUACUCUUGAGUGGAACUGCAUGUUCACUCCAGAAAUGAGCACUUUUGUAAAAUGAGCCAAAUGGAAGCAAAACAUAUUGGUGGAGUGUCAGAAUGCAUAGAAAGAAGACAAAUAAGCGUUCUAUGGGUUCAUUUCGCUUAGUUGCUUACUCUUGAGUAGAACUGCAAGUUCACUCAAUAAAUAAGCAACUUUCUAAAAUGAGCCAAAUUGAAGCAAAACAUAUUGGUGGAGUGUCAGAAUGCAUAGAUAGAAGCCAAAUAAGCGUUCUAUAGGUUUAUUUCGCUUAGUUGCUUACUCUUGAGUAGGAAUGCAUGCACUCCAGAAAUAAGCACCUUUGUAAAAUGAGCCAAAUUGAAGCAAAACAUAUUGUUGGAGUGUCAGAAUGCAUAGAUAACAGACAAAUAAGCGUUCUAUAGGUUUAUUUCACUUAGUUGCUUACUCUUGAGUGGAACUGCAUGUUCACUCCAGAAAUAAGCACUUUUGUAAAAUGAGCCAAAUUGAAGCAAAACAUAUUGGUGGAGUGUCAGAAUGCAUAGAUAGAAGCCAAAUAAGCGUUCUAUAGGUUUAUUUCGCUUAGUUGCUUACUAUAGAGUAGAACUACAAGUUCACUCCAGAAAUAAGCACUUUUGUAAAAUGAGCCAAAUUGAAGCAAAACACAUUGUUGGGGUGUCAGAAUGCAUAGAAAGAAGACAAAUAAGCGUUCUAUGGGUUCAUUUCGCUUAUUUGCUUACUCUUGAGUAGAACUGCAAGUUCACUCAAGAAAUAAGCACCCUUGUAAAAUGAGCCAAAUUGAAGCAAAACACAUUGUUGGAGUGUCAGAAUGCAUAGAUAACAGACAAAUAAGCGUUCUAUAGGUUUAUUUCUCUUAGUUGCUUACUCUUGAGUGGAACUGCAUGUUCACUCAAGAAAUAAGCACCCUUGUAAAAUGAGCCAAAUUGAAGCAAAACACAUUGUUGGGGUGUCAGAUGCAUAGAAAGAAGACAAAUAAGCGUUCUAUACGUUUAUUUCGCUUAGUUGCUUACUCUUGAGUAGAACUGCAUGUUCACUCCAGAAAUAAGCACCUUUGUAAAAUGAGCCAAAUUGAAGCAAAACACAUUGUUGGAGUGUCAGGAUGCAUAGAUAACAGACAAAUAAGCGUUCUAUCUAUAGGUUUAUUUCUCUUAUUUGCUUACUCUUGAGUAGAACUGCAAGUUCACUCAAGAAAUAAGCACCUUUGUAAAAUUAGCCAAACUGAAGCAAAACACAUUGUUGGAGUGUCAGAAUGCAUAGAUAACAGACAAAUAAGCGUUCUAUAGGUUUAUUUCGCUCAGUUGCUUACUCUUGAGUAGAACUGCAUGUUCACUCCAGAAAUAAGCACUUUUGUAAAAUGAGCCAAAUUGAAGCAAAACAUAUUGGUGGAGUGUCAGAAUGCAUAGAAAGAAGGCAAAUAAGCGUUCUAUGGGUUCAUUUCGCUUAGUUGCUUACUCUUGAGUAGAACUGCAAGUUCACUCCAGAAAUAAGCACCUUUGUAAAAUGAGCCAAAUUGAAGCAAAAAACAUUGUUGGAGUGUCAGAAUGCAUAGAAAGAGGAUAAAUAAGCGUUCUAUACGUUUAUUUCGCUUAUUUGCUUACUCUUGAGUAGGAAUGAAUGUGCACUCCAGAAAUAAGCACCUUUGUAAAAUGAGCCAAAUUGAAGCAAAACACAUUGUUGGAGUGUCGGAAUGCAUAGAUAGAAGAUAAAUAAGCGUUCUAUACGUUUAUUUCGCAUAGUUGCUUACUCUUGAGUAGAACUGCAAAUUCACUCCAGAAAUAAGCAACUUUCUAAAAUGAGCCAAAUUGAAGCAAAACACAUUGUUGGAGUGUCAGAAUGCAUAGAAAGAAGACAAAUAGGCGUUCUAUGGGUUCAUUUCGCUUAGUUGCUUACUCUUGAGUAGAACUGCAAGUUCACUCAAGAAAUAAGCACCUUUGUAAAAUGAGCCAAACUGAAGCAAAACACAUUGUUGGAGUGUCAGAAUGCAUAGUUAGAAGACAAAUAAGCGUUCUAUAGGUUUAUUUCGCUUAGUUGCUUACUCUUGAGUAGAACUGCAUGUUCACUCAAGAAAUAAGCACCCUUGUAAAAUGAGCCAAAUUGAAGCAAAACACAUUGUUGGGGUGUCAGAAUGCAUAGAAAGAAGACAAAUAAGCGUUCUAUACGUUUAUAAAGCUUAUUUGCUUACUCUUGAGUAGAAAUGCAUGUGCACUCCAGAAAUAAGCAACUUUCUAAAAUGAGCCAAAUUGAAGCAAAACAUAUUGGUAGAGUGUCAGAAUGCAUAGAUAGAAUCCAAAUAAGCGUUCUAUAGGUUUAUUUCGCUUAGUUGCUUACUCUAGAGUAGAACUGCAUGUUCACUCCAGAAAUAAGCACCUUUGUAAAAUGAGCCAAACAGAAGCAAAACACAUUGUUGGAGUGUCAGAAUGCCUAGAUAACAGACAAAUAAGCGUUUUAUAGGUUUUUUUCGCUCAGUUGCUUACUCUUGAGUAGAACUGAAUGUUCACUCCAGAAAUAAGCACUUUUGUAAAAUGAGCCAAAUUGAAGCAAAACAUCUUGGUGGAGUGUCAGAAUGCAGAGAUAGAAGACAAAUAAGCGUUCUAUAGGUUUAUUUCGCUUAGUUGCUUACUCUUGAGUAGAACUGCAUGUUCACUCAAGAAAUAAGCACCCUUGUAAAAUGAGCCAAAUUGAAGCAAAACACAUUGUUGGGGUGUCAGAAUGCAUAGAAAGAAGACAAAUAAGCGUUCUAUACGUUUAUAAAGCUUAUUUGCUUACUCUUGAGUAGAAAUGCAUGUGCAAUCCAGAAAUAAGCAACUUUCUAAAAUGAGCCAAAUUGAAGCAAAACAUAUUGGUAGAGUGUCAGGAUGCAUAGAUAGAAGCCAAAUAAGCGUUCUAUAGGUUUAUUUCGCUUAGUUGCUUACUCUUGAGUAGAACUGCAAGUUCACUCAAUAAAUAAGCACCUUUGUAAAAUGAGCCAAAUUGAAGCAAAACAUAUUGUUGGAGUGUCAGAAUGCAUAGAAAGAAGACAAAUAAGCGUUCUAUGGGUUCAUUUCGCUUAGUUGCUUACUCUUGAGUAGAACUGCAAGUUCACUCAAGAAAUAAGCACCCUUGUAAAAUGAGCCAAACUGAAGCAAAACACAUUUUUGGAGUGUCAGAAUGCAUAGAUAACAGACAAAUAAGCGUUCUAUAGGUUUAUUUCGCUUAGUUGCUUACUCUUGAGUGGAACUGCAUGUUCACUCCAGAAAUGAGCACUUUUGUAAAAUGAGCCAAAUGGAAGCAAAACAUAUUGGUGGAGUGUCAGAAUGCAUAGAAAGAAGACAAAUAAGCGUUCUAUGGGUUCAUUUCGCUUAGUUGCUUACUCUUGAGUAGAACUGCAAGUUCACUCAAUAAAUAAGCAACUUUCUAAAAUGAGCCAAAUUGAAGCAAAACAUAUUGGUGGAGUGUCAGAAUGCAUAGAUAGAAGCCAAAUAAGCGUUCUAUAGGUUUAUUUCGCUUAGUUGCUUACUCUUGAGUAGGAAUGCAUGCACUCCAGAAAUAAGCACCUUUGUAAAAUGAGCCAAAUUGAAGCAAAACAUAUUGUUGGAGUGUCAGAAUGCAUAGAUAACAGACAAAUAAGCCUUCUAUAGGUUUAUUUCACUUAGUUGCUUACUCUUGAGUGGAACUGCAUGUUCACUCCAGAAAUAAGCACUUUUGUAAAAUGAGCCAAAUUGAAGCAAAACAUAUUGGUGGAGUGUCAGAAUGCAUAGAUAGAAGCCAAAUAAGCGUUCUAUAGGUUUAUUUCGCUUAGUUGCUUACUAUAGAGUAGAACUACAAGUUCACUCCAGAAAUAAGCACUUUUGUAAAAUGAGCCAAAUUGAAGCAAAACACAUUGUUGGGGUGUCAGAAUGCAUAGAAAGAAGACAAAUAAGCGUUCUAUGGGUUCAUUUCGCUUAUUUGCUUACUCUUGAGUAGAACUGCAAGUUCACUCAAGAAAUAAGCACCCUUGUAAAAUGAGCCAAAUUGAAGCAAAACACAUUGUUGGAGUGUCAGAAUGCAUAGAUAACAGACAAAUAAGCGUUCUAUAGGUUUAUUUCUCUUAGUUGCUUACUCUUUAGUGGAACUGCAUGUUCACUCAAGAAAUAAGCACCCUUGUAAAAUGAGCCAAAUUGAAGCAAAACACAUUGUUGGGGUGUCAGAUGCAUAGAAAGAAGACAAAUAAGCGUUCUAUACGUUUAUUUCGCUUAGUUGCUUACUCUUGAGUAGAACUGCAUGUUCACUCCAGAAAUAAGCACCUUUGUAAAAUGAGCCAAAUUGAAGCAAAACACAUUGUUGGAGUGUCAGAAUGCAUAGAUAACAGACAAAUAAGCGUUCUAUCUAUAGGUUUAUUUCUCUUAUUUGCUUACUCUUGAGUAGAACUGCAAGUUCACUCAAGAAAUAAGCACCUUUGUAAAAUUAGCCAAACUGAAGCAAAACACAUUGUUGGAGUGUCAGAAUGCAUAGAUAACAGACAAAUAAGCGUUCUAUAGGUUUAUUUCGCUCAGUUGCUUACUCUUGAGUAGAACUGCAUGUUCACUCCAGAAAUAAGCACUUUUGUAAAAUGAGCCAAAUUGAAGCAAAACAUAUUGGUGGAGUGUCAGAAUGCAUAGAAAGAAGGCAAAUAAGCGUUCUAUGGGUUCAUUUCGCUUAGUUGCUUACUCUUGAGUAGAACUGCAAGUUCACUCCAGAAAUAAGCACCUUUGUAAAAUGAGCCAAAUUGAAGCAAAAAACAUUGUUGGAGUGUCAGAAUGCAUAGAAAGAGGAUAAAUAAGCGUUCUAUACGUUUAUUUCGCUUAUUUGCUUACUCUUGAGUAGGAAUGAAUGUGCACUCCAGAAAUAAGCACCUUUGUAAAAUGAGCCAAAUUGAAGCAAAACACAUUGUUGGAGUGUCGGAAUGCAUAGAUAGAAGAUAAAUAAGCGUUCUAUACGUUUAUUUCGCAUAGUUGCUUACUCUUGAGUAGAACUGCAAAUUCACUCCAGAAAUAAGCAACUUUCUAAAAUGAGCCAAACUGAAGCAAAACACAUUGUUGGAGUGUCAGAAUGCAUAGUUAGAAGACAAAUAAGCGUUCUAUAGGUUUAUUUCGCUUAGUUGCUUACUCUUGAGUAGAACUGCAUGUUCACUCAAGAAAUAAGCACCCUUGUAAAAUGAGCCAAAUUGAAGCAAAACACAUUGUUGGGGUGUCAGAAUGCAUAGAAAGAAGACAAAUAAGCGUUCUAUACGUUUAUAAAGCUUAUUUGCUUACUCUUGAGUAGAAAUGCAUGUGCACUCCAGAAAUAAGCAACUUUCUAAAAUGAGCCAAAUUGAAGCAAAACAUAUUGGUAGAGUGUCAGAAUGCAUAGAUAGAAUCCAAAUAAGCGUUCUAUAGGUUUAUUUCGCUUAGUUGCUUACUCUAGAGUAGAACUGCAUGUUCACUCCAGAAAUAAGCACCUUUGUAAAAUGAGCCAAACAGAAGCAAAACACAUUGUUGGAGUGUCAGAAUGCCUAGAUAACAGACAAAUAAGCGUUUUAUAGGUUUUUUUCGCUCAGUUGCUUACUCUUGAGUAGAACUGAAUGUUCACUCCAGAAAUAAGCACUUUUGUAAAAUGAGCCAAAUUGAAGCAAAACAUCUUGGUGGAGUGUCAGAAUGCAGAGAUAGAAGACAAAUAAGCGUUCUAUAGGUUUAUUUCGCUUAGUUGCUUACUCUUGAGUAGAACUGCAUGUUCACUCAAGAAAUAAGCACCCUUGUAAAAUGAGCCAAAUUGAAGCAAAACACAUUGUUGGGGUGUCAGAAUGCAUAGAAAGAAGACAAAUAAGCGUUCUAUACGUUUAUAAAGCUUAUUUGCUUACUCUUGAGUAGAAAUGCAUGUGCAAUCCAGAAAUAAGCAACUUUCUAAAAUGAGCCAAAUUGAAGCAAAACAUAUUGGUAGAGUGUCAGGAUGCAUAGAUAGAAGCCAAAUAAGCGUUCUAUAGGUUUAUUUCGCUUAGUUGCUUACUCUUGAGUAGAACUGCAAGUUCACUCAAUAAAUAAGCACCUUUGUAAAAUGAGCCAAAUUGAAGCAAAACAUAUUGUUGGAGUGUCAGAAUGCAUAGAAAGAAGACAAAUAAGCGUUCUAUGGGUUCAUUUCGCUUAGUUGCUUACUCUUGAGUAGAACUGCAAGUUCACUCAAGAAAUAAGCACCCUUGUAAAAUGAGCCAAACUGAAGCAAAACACAUUUUUGGAGUGUCAGAAUGCAUAGAUAACAGACAAAUAAGCGUUCUAUAGGUUUAUUUCGCUUAGUUGCUUACUCUUGAGUGGAACUGCAUGUUCACUCCAGAAAUGAGCACUUUUGUAAAAUGAGCCAAAUGGAAGCAAAACAUAUUGGUGGAGUGUCAGAAUGCAUAGAAAGAAGACAAAUAAGCGUUCUAUGGGUUCAUUUCGCUUAGUUGCUUACUCUUGAGUAGAACUGCAAGUUCACUCAAUAAAUAAGCAACUUUCUAAAAUGAGCCAAAUUGAAGCAAAACAUAUUGGUGGAGUGUCAGAAUGCAUAGAUAGAAGCCAAAUAAGCGUUCUAUAGGUUUAUUUCGCUUAGUUGCUUACUCUUGAGUAGAACUACAAGUUCACUCCAGAAAUAAGCACCUUUGUAAAAUGAGCCUAAUUGAAGCAAAACACAUUGUUUGAGUGUCAGAAUGCAUAGAUAGAGGAUAAAUAAGCGUUCUAUACGUUUAUUUCGCAUAGUUGCUUACUCUUGAGUAGGAAUGCAUGCACUCCAGAAAUAAGCACCUUUGUAAAAUGAGCCAAAUUGAAGCAAAACAUAUUGUUGGAGUGUCAGAAUGCAUAGAUAACAGACAAAUAAGCGUUCUAUAGGUUUAUUUCACUUAGUUGCUUAUUCUUGAGUGGAACUGCAUGUUCACUCCAGAAAUAAGCACUUUUGUAAAAUGAGCCAACUUGAAGCAAAACAUAUUGGUGGAGUGUCAGAAUGCAUAGAUAGAAGCCAAAUAAGCGUUCUAUAGGUUUAUUUCGCUUAGUUGCUUACUAUAGAGUAGAACUACAAGUUCACUCCAGAAAUAAGCACUUUUGUAAAAUGAGCCAAAUUGAAGCAAAACACAUUGUUGGGGUGUCAGAAUGCAUAGAAAGAAGACAAAUAAGCGUUCUAUGGGUUCAUUUCGCUUAUUUGCUUACUCUUGAGUAGAACUGCAAGUUCACUCAAGAAAUAAGCACCCUUAUAAAAUGUGCCAAAUUGAAGCAAAACACAUUGUUGGAGUGUCAGAAUGCAUAGAUAACAGACAAAUAAGCGUUCUAUAGGUUUAUUUCUCUUAGUUGCUUACUCUUGAGUGGAACUGCAUGUUCACUCAAGAAAUAAGCACCCUUGUAAAAUGAGCCAAAUUGAAGCAAAACACAUUGUUGGGGUGUCAGAUGCAUAGAAAGAAGACAAAUAAGCGUUCUAUACGUUUAUUUCGCUUAGUUGCUUACUCUUGAGUAGAACUGCAUGUUCACUCCAGAAAUAAGCACCUUUGUAAAAUGAGCCAAAUUGAAGCAAAACACAUUGUUGGAGUGUCAGAAUGCAUAGAUAACAGACAAAUAAGCGUUCUAUAGGUUUAUUUCUCUUAUUUGCUUACUCUUGAGUAGAACUGCAAGUUCACUCAAGAAAUAAGCACCCUUGUAAAAUGAGCCAAAAUGAAGCAAAACACAUUGUUGGAGUGUCAGAAUGCAUAGAUAACAGACAAAUAAGCGUUCUAUAGGUUUAUUUCGCUUAGUUGCUUACUCUUGAGUAGAACUGCAUGUUCACUCCAGAAAUAAGCACCUUUGUAAAAUGAGCCAAAUUGAAGCAAAACAUAUUGUUGGAGUGUCAGAAUGCAUAGAAAGAAGACAAAUAAGCGUUCUAUAGGUUUAUUUCGCUUAGUUGCUUACUCUUGAGUAGAACUGCAAGUUCACUCAAUAAAUAAGCACCUUUGUAAAAUGAGCCAAAUUGAAGCAAAACAUAUUGUUGGAGUGUCAGAAUGCAUAGAAAGAAGACAAAUAAGCGUUCUAUGGGUUCAUUUCGCUUAGUUGCUUACUCUUGAGUAGAACUGCAAGUUCACUCAAGAAAUAGGCACCCUUGUAAAAUGAGCCAAACUGAAGCAAAACACAUUGUUGGAGUGUCAGAAUGCAUAGAUAACAGACAAAUAAGCGUUCUAUAGGUUUAUUUCGCUCAGUUGCUUACUCUUGAGUAGAACUGCAUGUUCACUCCAGAAAUAAGCACUUUUGUAAAAUGAGCCAAAUUGAAGCAAAACAUAUUGGUGGAGUGUCAGAAUGCAUAGACAGAAGCCAAAUAAGCGUUCUAUAGGUUUAUUUCGCUUAGUUGCUUACUCUUGAGUAGAACUGCAAGUUCACUCCAGAAAUAAGCACCUUUGUAAAAUUAGCCAAACUGAAGCAAAACACAUUGUUGGAGUGUCAGAAUGCAUAGAAAGAAGGCAAAUAAGCGUUCUAUGGGUUCAUUUCGCUUAGUUGCUUACUCUUGAGUAGAACUGCAAGUUCACUCCAGAAAUAAGCACCUUUGUAAAAUGAGCCAAAUUGAAGCAAAAAACAUUGUUGGAGUGUCAGAAUGCAUAGAAAGAGGAUAAAUAAGCGUUCUAUACGUUUAUUUCGCUUAUUUGCUUACUCUUGAGUAGGAAUGAAUGUGCACUCCAGAAAUAAGCACCUUUGUAAAAUGAGCCAAAUUGAAGCAAAACACAUUGUUGGAGUGUCGGAAUGCAUAGAUAGAAGAUAAAUAAGCGUUCUAUACGUUUAUUUCGCAUAGUUGCUUACUCUUGAGUAGAACUGCAAAUUCACUCCAGAAAUAAGCAACUUUCUAAAAUGAGCCAAAUUGAAGCAAAACACAUUGUUGGAGUGUCAGAAUGCAUAGAAAGAAGACAAAUAGGCGUUCUAUGGGUUCAUUUCGCUUAGUUGCUUACUCUUGAGUAGAACUGCAAGUUCACUCAAGAAAUAAGCACCUUUGUAAAAUGAGCCAAACUGAAGCAAAACACAUUGUUGGAGUGUCAGAAUGCAUAGAUAACAGACAAAUAAGCGUUCUAUAGGUUUAUUUCUCUUAGUUGCUUACUCUUGAGUAGAACUGAAUGUUCACUUCAGAAAUAAGCACUUUUGUAAAAUGAGCCAAAUUGAAGCAAAACAUAUUGGUGGAGUGUCAGGAUGCAUAGUUAGAAGACAAAUAAGCGUUCUAUAGGUUUAUUUCGCUUAGUUGCUUACUCUUGAGUAGAACUGCAUGUUCACUCAAGAAAUAAGCACCCUUGUAAAAUGAGCCAAAUUGAAGCAAAACACAUUGUUGGGGUGUCAGAAUGCAUAGAAAGAAGACAAGUAAGCGUUCUAUACGUUUAUAAAGCUUAUUUGCUUACUCUUGAGUAGAAAUGCAUGUGCACUCCAGAAAUAAGCAACUUUCUAAAAUGAGCCAAAUUGAAGCAAAACAUAUUGGUAGAGUGUCAGAAUGCAUAGAUAGAAGCCAAAUAAGCGUUCUAUAGGUUUAUUUCGCUUAGUUGCUUACUCUAGAGUAGAACUGCAUGCUCACUCCAGAAAUAAGCACCUUUGUAAAAUGAGCCAAACAGAAGCAAAACACAUUGUUGGAGUGUCAGAAUGCCUAGAUAACAGACAAAUAAGCGUUUUAUAGGUUUAUUUCGCUCAGUUGCUUACUCUUGAGUAGAACUGAAUGUUCACUCCAGAAAUAAGCACUUUUGUAAAAUGAGCCAAAUUGAAGCAAAACAUCUUGGUGGAGUGUCAGAAUGCAUAGAUAGAAGACAAAUAAGCGUUCUAUAGGUUUAUUUCGCUUAGUUGCUUACUCUUGAGUAGAACUGCAUGUUCACUCAAGAAAUAAGCACCCUUGUAAAAUGAGCCAAAUUGAAGCAAAACACAUUGUUGGGGUGUCAGAAUGCAUAGAAAGAAGACAAAUAAGCGUUCUAUACGUUUAUAAAGCUUAUUUGCUUACUCUUGAGUAGAAAUGCAUGUGCAAUCCAGAAAUAAGCAACUUUCUAAAAUGAGCCAAAUUGAAGCAAAACAUAUUGGUAGAGUGUCAGGAUGCAUAGAUAGAAGCCAAAUAAGCGUUCUAUAGGUUUAUUUCGCUUAGUUGCUUACUCUAGAGUAGAACUGCAAGUUCACUCAAUAAAUAAGCACCUUUGUAAAAUGAGCCAAAUUGAAGCAUAACAUAUUGUUGGAGUGUCAGAAUGCAUAGAAAGAAGACAAAUAAGCGUUCUAUGGGUUCAUUUCGCUUAGUUGCUUACUCUUGAGUAGAACUGCAAGUUCACUCAAGAAAUAAGCACCCUUGUAAAAUGAGCCAAACUGAAGCAAAACACAUUUUUGGAGUGUCAGAAUGCAUAGAUAACAGACAAAUAAGCGUUCUAUAGGUUUAUUUCGCUUAGUUGCUUACUCUUGAGUGGAACUGCAUGUUCACUCCAGAAAUGAGCACUUUUGUAAAAUGAGCCAAAUGGAAGCAAAACAUAUUGGUGGAGUGUCAGAAUGCAUAGAAAGAAGACAAAUAAGCGUUCUAUGGGUUCAUUUCGCUUAGUUGCUUACUCUUGAGUAGAACUGCAAGUUCACUCAAUAAAUAAGCAACUUUCUAAAAUGAGCCAAAUUGAAGCAAAACAUAUUGGUGGAGUGUCAGAAUGCAUAGAUAGAAGCCAAAUAAGCGUUCUAUAGGUUUAUUUCGCUUAGUUGCUUACUCUUGAGUAGAACUACAAGUUCACUCCAGAAAUAAGCACCUUUGUAAAAUGAGCCUAAUUGAAGCAAAACACAUUGUUUGAGUGUCAGAAUGCAUAGAUAGAGGAUAAAUAAGCGUUCUAUACGUUUAUUUCGCAUAGUUGCUUACUCUUGAGUAGGAAUGCAUGCACUCCAGAAAUAAGCACCUUUGUAAAAUGAGCCAAAUUGAAGCAAAACAUAUUGUUGGAGUGUCAGAAUGCAUAGACAACAGACAAAUAAGCGUUCUAUAGGUUUAUUUCACUUAGUUGCUUACUCUUGAGUGGAACUGCAUGUUCACUCCAGAAAUAAGCACUUUUGUAAAAUGAGCCAAAUUGAAGCAAAACAUAUUGGUGGAGUGUCAGAAUGCAUAGAUAGAAGACAAAUAAGCGUUCUAUAGGUUUAUUUCGCUUAGUUGCUUACUAUAGAGUAGAACUACAAGUUCACUCCAGAAAUAAGCACUUUUGUAAAAUGAGCCAAAUUGAAGCAAAACACAUUGUUGGGGUGUCAGAAUGCAUAGAAAGAAGACAAAUAAGCGUUCUAUGGGUUCAUUUCGCUUAUUUGCUUACUCUUGAGUAGAACUGCAAGUUCACUCAAGAAAUAAGCACCCUUGCAAAAUGAGCCAAAUUGAAGCAAAACACAUUGUUGGAGUGUCAGAAUGCAUAGAUAACAGACAAAUAAGCGUUCUAUAGGUUUAUUUCUCUUAGUUGCUUACUCUUGAGUGGAACUGCAUGUUCACUCCGGAAAUGAGCACUUUUGUAAAAUGAGCCAAAUUGAAGCAAAACAUAUUGGUGGAGUGUCAGAAUGCAUAGAUAGAAGACAAAUAAGCGUUCUAUAGGUUUAUUUCGCUUAGUUGCUUACUCUUGAGUAGAACUGCAUGUUCACUCAAGAAAUAAGCACCCUUGUAAAAUGAGCCAAAUUGAAGCAAAACACAUUGUUGGGGUGUCAGAUGCAUAGAAAGAAGACAAAUAAGUGUUCUAUACGUUUAUAAAGCUUAUUUGCUUACUUUUGAGUAGAAAUGCAUGUGCAAUCCAGAAAUAAGCAACUUUCUAAAAUGAGCCAAAUUGAAGCAAAACAUAUUGGUGGAGUGUCAGAAUGCAUAGAUAGAAGCCAAAUAAGCGUUCUAUAGGUUUAUUUCGCUUAGUUGCUUACUCUAGAGUAGAACUGCAUGUUCACUCCAGAAAUAAGCACCUUUGUAAAAUGAGCCAAAUUGAAGCAAAACAAAUUGUUGGAGUGUCAGAAUGCAUAGAUAGAAGACAAAUAAGCGUCCUAUAGGUUUAUUUCACUUAGUUGCUUACUCUUGAGUAGAACUGCAUGUUCACUCAAGAAAUAAGCAUUUUUGUAAAAUGAGCCAAAUUGAAGCAAAACAUAUUGGUGGAGUGUCAGAAUGCAUAGAUAGAAGCCAAAAAAGCGUUCUAUAGGUUUAUUUCGCUUAGUUGCUUACUCUUGAGUAGAAAUGCAUGUGCACGCCAAGAAAUAAGCACCUUUGUAAAAUGAGCCAAAUUGAAGCAAAACACAUUGUUGGAGUGUCAGAAUGCCUAGAAAGAAGACAAAUAAGCGUUCUAUGGGUUCAUUUCGCUUAGUUGCUUACUCUUGAGAAGAACUGCAAGUUCACUCAAGAAAUAAGCACCCUUGUAAAAUGAGCCAAACUGAAGCAAAACACAUUGUUGGAGUGUCAGAAUGCAUAGAUAACAGACAAAUAAGCGUUCUAUAGGUUUAUUUCGCUUAGUUGCUUACUCUUGAGUGGAACUGCAUGUUCACUCCAGAAAUGAGCACUUUUGUAAAAUGAGCCAAAUUGAAGCAAAACAUAUUGGUGGAGUGUCAGAAUGCAUAGAAAGAAGACAAAUAAGCGUUCUAUACGUUUAUAAAGCUUAUUUGCUUACUCUUGAUGAGAAAUGCAUGUGCACUCCAGAAAUAAGCAACUUUCUAAAAUGAGCCAAAUUGAAGCAAAACACAUUGUUGGAGUGUCAGAAUGCAUAGAUAGAAGACAAAUAAGCGUUCAAUGGGUUCAUUUCGCUUAUUUGCUUACUCCUGAGUAGAAAUGCAUGUGCACGCCAAGAAAUAAGCACCUUUGUAAAAUGAGCCAAAUUGAAGCAAAACACAUUGCUGGAGUGUCAGAAUGCAUAGAUAGAAGACAAAUAAGCGUUCUAUGGGUUCAUUUCGCUUAUUUGCUUACUCCUGAGUAGAAAUGCAUGUGCACGCCAAGAAAUAAGCACCUUUGUAAAAUGAGCCAAAUUGAAGCAAAACACAUUGUUGGAGUGUCAGAAUGCAUAGAUAGAAGACAAAUAAGCGUUCUAUAGGUUUAUUUCGCUCAGUUGCUUACUCUUGAGUAGAACUGCAUGUUCACUCCAGAAAUAAGCACCUUUGUAAAAUGAGCCAAAUUGAAGCAAAACACAUUGUUGGAGUGUCAGAAUGCAUAGAUAGCAGACAAAUAAGCGUUCUAUGGGUUCAUUUCGCUUAUUUGCUUACUCCUGAGUAGAAAUGCAUGUGCACGCCAAGAAAUAAGCACCUUUGUAAAAUGAGCCAAAUUGAAGCAAAACAGAUUGUUGGAGUGUCAGAAUGCAUAGAUAACAGACAAAUAAGCGUUCUAUAGGUUUAUUUCGCUUAGUUGCUUACUCUAGAGUAGAACUGCAUGUUCAUUCAAUAAAUAAGCACCUUUGUAAAAUGAGCCAAAUUGAAGCAAAACACAUUGUUGGAGUGUCAGAAUGCAUAGAUAACAGACAAAUAAGCGUUCUAUAGGUUUAUUUCGCUUAGUUGCUUACUCUUGAGUAGAACUGCAUGUUCACUGCAGAAAUAAGCACUUUUGUAAAAUGAGCCAAAUUGAAGCAAAACAUAUUGUUGGAGUGUCAGAAUGCAUAGAAAGAUGACAAAUAAGCGUUCUAUGGGUUCAUUUCUCUUAUUUGCUUACUCUUGAGUAGAACUGCAAGUUCACUCAAGAAAUAAGCACCCUUGUAAAAUGAGCCAAACUGAAGCAAAACACAUUGUUGGAGUGUCAGAAUGCAUAGAUAACAGCCAAAUAAGCGUGCUAUAGGUUUAUUUCGCUUAGUUGCUUACUCUUGAGUAGAACUGCAUGUUCACUCCAGAAAUAAGCACCUUUGUAAAAUGAGCCAAAUUGAAGCAAAACACAUUGUUGGAGUGUCAGAAUGCAUAGAAAGAAGACAAAUAAGCGUUCUAUGGGUUCAUUUCGCUUAGUUGCUUACUCUUGAGUAGAACUCUAAGUUCACUCAAUAAAUAAGCACCUUUGUAAAAUGAGCCAAAUUGAAGCAAAACAUAUUGUUGGAGUGUCAGAAUGCAUAGAAAGAAGACAAAUAAGCGUUCUAUGGGUUCAUUUCGCUUAUUUGCUUACUCUUGAGUAGAACUGCAAGUUCACUCAAGAAAUAAGCACCUUUGUUAAAUGAGCCAAAUUGAAGCAAAACAUAUUGUUGGAGUGUCAGAAUGCAUAGAAAGAAGACAAAAAAGCGUUCUAUACGUUUAUAAAGCUUAUUUGCUUACUCUUGAGUAGAACUGCAUGUGCACUCCAGAAAUAAGCAACUUUCUAAAAUGAGCCAAAUUGAAGCAAAACAUAUUGGUGGAGUGUCAGAAUGCAUAGAUAGAAGCCAAAUAAGCGUUCUAUAGGUUUAUUUCGCUUAGUUGCUUACUCUAGAGUAGAACUGCAUGUUCACUCAAUAAUUAAGCACCUUUGUAAAAUGAGCCAAAUUGAAGCAAAACACAUUGUUGGAGUGUCAGAAUGCAUAGAUAACAGACAAAUAAGCGUUCUAUAGGUUUAUUUCGCUUAGUUGCUUACUCUUGAGUAGAACUGCAUGUUCACUCCAGAAAUAAGCACUUUUGUAAAAUGAGCCAAAUUGAAGCAAAACAUAUUGUUGGAGUGUCAGAAUGCAUAGAAAGAAGACAAAUAAGCGUUCUAUGGGUUCAUUUCGCUUAUUUGCCUACUCUUGAGUAGAACUGCAAGUUCACUCAAGAAAUAAGCACCCUUGUAAAAUGAGCCAAACUGAAGCAAAACACAUUGUUGGAGUGUCAGAAUGCAUAGAUAACAGCCAAAUAAGCGUUCUAUAGGUUUAUUUCGCUUAGUUGCUUACUCUUGAGUAGAACUGCAUGUUCACUCCAGAAAUAAGCACUUUUGUAAAAUGAGCCAAAUUGAAGCAAAACAUAUUGGUGGAGUGUCAGAAUGCAUAGAUAGAAGCCAAAUAAGCGUUCUAUAGGUUUAUUUCGCUUAGUUGCUUACUCUUGAGUAGAACUGCAAGUUCACUCAAUAAAUAAGCACCUUUGUAAAAUGAGCCAAAUUGAAGCAAAAAACAUUGUUGGAGUGUCAGAAUGCAUAGAAAGAAGACAAAAAAGCGUUCUAUACGUUUAUAAAGCUUAUUUGCUUACUCUUGAGUAGAACUGCAUGUGCACUCCAGAAAUAAGCAACUUUCUAAAAUGAGCCAAAUUGAAGCAAAACAUAUUGGUGGAGUGUCAGAAUGCAUAGAUAGAAGCCAAAUAAGCGUUCUAUAGGUUUAUUUCGCUUAGUUGCUUACUCUAGAGUAGAACUGCAUGUUCACUCAAUAAUUAAGCACCUUUGUAAAAUGAGCCAAAUUGAAGCAAAACACAUUGUUGGAGUGUCAGAAUGCAUAGAUAAUAGACAAAUAAGCGUUCUAUAGGUUUAUUUCGCUUAGUUGCUUACUCUUGAGUAGAACUGCAUGUUCACUCCAGAAAUAAGCACUUUUGUAAAAUGAGCCAAAUUGAAGCAAAACAUAUUGUUGGAGUGUCAGAAUGCAUAGAAAGAAGACAAGUAAGCGUUCUAUGGGUUCAUUUCGCUUAUUUGCCUACUCUUGAGUAGAACUGCAAGUUCACUCAAGAAAUAAGCACCCUUGUAAAAUGAGCCAAACUGAAGCAAAACACAUUGUUGGAGUGUCAGAAUGCAUAGAUAACAGCCAAAUAAGCGUUCUAUACGUUUAUUUCGCUUAGUUGCUUACUCUUGAGUAGAACUGCAUGUUCACUCCAGAAAUAAGCACUUUUGUAAAAUGAGCCAAAUUGAAGCAAAACAUAUUGGUGGAGUGUCAGAAUGCAUAGAUAGAAGCCGAAUAAGCGUUCUAUAGGUUUAUUUCGCUUAGUUGCUUACUCUUGAGUAGAACUGCAAUUUCACUCAAUAAAUAAGCACCUGAAGUAUCUGAAGAAGUGUGCAUGCACACGAAAGCUCAUACCAAAAUAUAAACUUAGUUGGUCUUUAAGGUGCUACUGAAGGAAUUUUUUUAUAUUGGUGGAGUGUCAGAAUGCACAGAUAGAAGCCAAAUAAGCGUUCUAUAGGUUUAUUUCGCUUAGUUGCUUACUCUAGAGUAGAACUGCAUGUUCACUCCAGAAAUAAGCACUUUUGUAAAAUGAGCCAAAUUGAAGCAAAACAUAUUGUUGGAGUGUCAGAAUGCAUAGAAAGAAGACAAAUAAGCGUUCUAUGGGUUCAUUUCUCUUAUUUGCUUACUCUUGAGUAGAACUGCAAGUUCACUCAAGAAAUAAGCACCCUUGUAAAAUGAGCCAAACUGAAGCAAAACACAUUGUUGGAGUGUCAGAAUGCAUAGAUAACAGCCAAAUAAGCGUGCUAUAGGUUUAUUUCGCUUAGUUGCUUACUCUUGAGUAGAACUGCAUGUUCAAUCCAGAAAUAAGCACCUUUGUAAAAUGAGCCAAAUUGAAGCAAAACACAUUGUUGGAGUGUCAGAAUGCAUAGAUAGAAGACAAAUAAGCGUUCUAUGGGUUCAUUUCGCUUAGUUGCUUACUCUUGAGUAGAACUCUAAGUUCACUCAAUAAAUAAGCACCUUUGUAAAAUGAGCCAAAUUGAAGCAAAACAUAUUGUUGGAGUGUCAGAAUGCAUAGAAAGAAGACAAAUAAGCGUUCUAUGGGUUCAUUUCGCUUAUUUGCUUACUCUUGAGUAGAACUGCAAGUUCACUCAAGAAAUAAGCACCUUUGUAAAAUGAGCCAAAUUGAAGCAAAACAUAUUGUUGGAGUGUCAGAAUGCAUAGAAAGAAGACAAAAAAGCGUUCUAUACGUUUAUAAAGCUUAUUUGCUUACUCUUGAGUAGAACUGCAUGUGCAAUCCAGAAAUAAGCAACUUUCUAAAAUGAGCCAAAUUGAAGCAAAACAUAUUGUUGGAGUGUCAGAAUGCAUAGAAAGAAGACAAAUAAGCGUUCUAUGGGUUCAUUUCGCUUAGUUGCUUACUCUUGAGUAGAACUCUAAGUUCACUCAAUAAAUAAGCACCUUUGUAAAAUGAGCCAAAUUGAAGCAAAACAUAUUGUUGGAGUGUCAGAAUGCAUAGAAAGAAGACAAAUAAGCAUUCUAUGGGUUCAUUUCGCUUAUUUGCUUACUCUUUAGUAGAACUGCAAGUUCACUCAAGAAAUAAGCACUUUUGUAAAAUGAGCCAAAUUGAAGCAAAACAUAUUGGUGGAGUGUCAGAAUGCAUAGAUAGAAGCCAAAUAAGCGUUCUAUAGGUUUAUUUCGCUUAGUUGCUUACUCUUGAGUAGAACUGCAAGUUCACUCAAUAAAUAAGCACCUUUGUAAAAUGAGCCAAAUUGAAGCAAAAAACAUUGUUGGAGUGUCAGAAUGCAUAGAAAGAGAAUAAAUAAGCGUUCCAUAGGUUUAUUUCGCUUAUUUGCUUACUCUUGAGUAGAACUGUAAGUUCACUCAAGAAAUAAGCACCUUUGUAAAAUGAACCACAUUGAAGCAAUACACAUUGUUGGAGUGUCAGAAUGCAUAGAUAGAAGACAAAUAAGUGUUCUAUACGUUUAUUUCGCUCAGUUGCUUACUCUUGAGUAGAACUGCAUGUUCACUCCAGAAAUAAGCACCUUUGUAAAAUGAGCCAAAUUGAAGCAACACAUAUUGUUGGAGUGUCAGAAUGCAUAGAUAGAAGACAAAUAAGCGUUCUAUAGGUUUAUUUCGCUCAGUUGCUUACUCUUGAGUAGAACUGCAUGUUCACUCCAGAAAUAAGCACCUUUGUAAAAUGAGCCAAAUUGAAGCAAAACACAUUGUUGGAGUGUCAGAAUGCAUAGAAAGAAGACAAAUAAGCGUUCUAUGGGUUCAUUUCGCUUAUUUACUUACUCCUGAGUAGAAAUGCAUGUGCACGCCAAGAAAUAAGCACCUUUGUAAAAUGAGCCAAAUUGAAGCAAAACACAUUGUUGGAGUGUCAGAAUGCAUAGAUAGAAGACAAAUAAGCGUUCUAUAGGUUUAUUUCGCUCAGUUGCUUACUCUUGAGUAGAACUGCAUGUUCACUCCAGAAAUAAGCACCUUGGUAAAAUGAGCCAAAUUGAAGCAAAACACAUUGUUGGAGUGUCAGAAUGCAUAGAUAGAAGACAAAUAAGCGUUCUAUGGGUUCAUUUCGCUUAUUUGCUUACUCCUGAGUAGAAAUGCAUGUGCACGCCAAGAAAUAAGCACCUUUGUAAAAUGAGCCAAAUUGAAGCAAAACACAUUGUUGGAGUAUCAGAAUGCAUAGAUAACAGACAAAUAAGCGUUCUAUAGGUUUAUUUCGCUUAGUUGCUUACUCUAGAGUAGAACUGCAUGUUCACUCCAGAAAUAAGCGCCUUUGUAAAAUGAGCCAAAUUGAAAGAAAACACAUUGUUGGAGUGUCAGAAUGCAUAGAAAGCAGACAAAUAAGCGUUCUAUACGUUUAUUUUGCUUAUUUGCUUAUUCUUGAGUAGGAAUGCAUGUGCACUCCAGAAAUAAGCACCUUUGUAAAAUGAACCACAUUGAAGCAAAACACAUUGUUGGAGUUUCAGAAUGCAUAGAUAGAAGACAAAUAAGCGUUCUAUAGGUUUAUUUCGCUUAGUUGCAUACUCUUGAGUAGAACUGCAAGUUCACUCAAUAAAUAAGCACCUUUGUAAAAUGAUCCAAAUUGAAGCAAAACACAUUGUUGGAGUGUCAGAAUGGAUAGAUAACAGACAAAUAAGCGUUCUAUAGGUUUAUUUCGCUUAGUUGCUUACUCUUGAGUAGAACUGCAUGUUCACUCCAGAAAUAUGCACCUUUGUAAAAUGAGCCAAAUUGAAGCAAAACAUAUUGUUGGAGUGUCAGAAUGCAUAGAAAGAAGACAAAUAAGCGUUCUAUGGGUUCAUUUCGCUUAUUUGCUUACUCCUGAGUAGAAAUGCAUGUGCACGCCAAGAAAUAAGCACCUUUGUAAAAUGAGCCAAAUUGAAGCAAAACACAUUGUUGGAGUGUCAGAAUGCAUAGAUAGAAGACAAAUAAGCGUUCUAUAGGUUUAUUUCGCUCAGUUGCUUACUCUUGAGUAGAACUGCAUGUUCACUCCAGAAAUAAGCACCUUUGUAAAAUGAGCCAAAUUGAAGCAAAACACAUUGUUGGAGUGUCAGAAUGCAUAGAUAGAAGACAAAUAAGCGUUCUAUGGGUUCAUUUCGCUUAUUUGCUUACUCCUGAGUAGAAAUGCAUGUGCACGCCAAGAAAUAAGCACCUUUGUAAAAUGAGCCAAAUUGAAGCAAAAAACAUUGUUGGAGUGUCAGAAUGCAUAGAAAGAGAAUAAAUAAGCGUUCCAUAGGUUUAUUUCGCUUAUUUGCUUACUCUUGAGUAGAACUGUAAGUUCACUCAAGAAAUAAGCACCUUUGUAAAAUGAACCACAUUGAAGCAAUACACAUUGUUGGAGUGUCAGAAUGCAUAGAUAGAAGACAAAUAAGUGUUCUAUACGUUUAUUUUGCUUAUUUGCUUACUCUUGAGUAGGAAUGCAUGUGCACUCCAGAAAUAAGCACCUUUGUAAAAUGAACCACAUUGAAGCAAAACACAUUGUUGGAGUUUCAGAAUGCAUAGAUAGAAGACAAAUAAGCGUUCUAUAGGUUUAUUUCGCUUAGUUGCAUACUCUUGAGUAGAACUGCAAGUUCACUCAAUAAAUAAGCACCUUUGUAAAAUGAGCCAAAUUGAAGCAAAACAUAUUGUUGGAGUGUCAGAAUGCAUAGAAAGAAGACAAAUAAGCGUUCUAUGGGUUCAUUUCGCUUAUUUGCUUACUCCUGAGUAGAAAUGCAUGUGCACGCCAAGAAAUAAGCACCUUUGUAAAAUGAGCCAAAUUGAAGCAAAACACAUUGUUGGAGUGUCAGAAUGCAUAGAUAGAAGACAAAUAAGCGUUCUAUAGGUUUAUUUCGCUCAGUUGCUUACUCUUGAGUAGAACUGCAUGUUCACUCCAGAAAUAAGCACCUUUGUAAAAUGAGCCAAAUUGAAGCAAAACACAUUGUUGGAGUGUCAGAAUGCAUAGAUAGAAGACAAAUAAGCGUUCUAUGGGUUCAUUUCGCUUAUUUGCUUACUCCUGAGUAGAAAUGCAUGUGCACGCCAAGAAAUAAGCGCCUUUGUAAAAUGAGCCAAAUUGAAGCAAAACACAUUGUUGGAGUGUCAGAAUGCAUAGAAAGAAGACAAAUAAGCGUUCUAUACGUUUAUUUUGCUUAUUUGCUUACUCUUGAGUAGGAAUGCAUGUGCACUCCAGAAAUAAGCACCUUUGUAAAAUGAGCCAAAUUGAAGCAAAACAAAUUGUUGGAGUGUCAGAAUGCAUAGAUAGAAGAGAAAUAAGCGUCCUAUAGGUUUAUUUCACUUAGUUGCUUACUCUUGAGUAGAACUGCAUGUUCACUCAAGAAAUAAGCACUUUUGUCAAAUGAGCCAAAUUGAAGCAAAACAUAUUGGUGGAGUGUCAGAAUGCAUAGAUAGAAGCCAAAUAAGCGUUCUAUAGGUUUAUUUCGCUUAGUUGCUUACUCUUGAGUAGAAAUGCAUGUGCACGCCAAGAAAUAAGCACCUUUGUAAAAUGAGCCAAAUUGAAGCAAAACACAUUGUUGGAGUGUCAGAAUGCCUAGAUAACCGACAAAUAAGCGUUUUAUAGGUUUAUUUCACUCAGUUGCUUACUCUAGAGUAGAACUGCAUGUUCACUCCAGAAAUAAGCACUUUUGUAAAAUGAGCCAAAUUGAAGCAAAACAUAUUGUUGGAGUGUCAGAAUGCAUAGAAAGAAGACAAAUAAGCGUUCUAUGGGUUCAUUUCGCUUAGUUGCUUACUCUUGAGUAGAACUGCAAGUUCACUCAAGAAAUAAGCACCCUUGUAAAAUGAGCCAAACUGAAGCAAAACACAUUGUUGGAGUGUCAGAAUGCAUAGAUAACAGACAAAUAAGCGUUCUAUAGGUUUAUUUCGCUUAGUUGCUUACUCUUGAGUGGAACUGCAUGUUCACUCCAUAAAUGAGCACUUUUGUAAAAUGAGCCAAAUUGAAGCAAAACAUAUUGGUGGAGUGUCAGAAUGCAUAGAAAGAAGACAAAUAAGCGUUCUAUAGGUUUAUUUCGCUUAAUUGCUUACUCUUGAGUAGAACUGCAAUUUCACUCAAUAAAUAAGCACCUUUGUAAAAUGAGCAAAACUGAAGCAAAACACAUUGUUGGAGUGUCAGAAUGCAUAGAUAACAGACAAAUAAGCAUUCUAUAGGUUUAUUUCGCUUACUUGCUUACUCUUGAGUGGAACUGCAUGUUCACUCCAUAAAUGAGCACUUUUGUAAAAUGAGCCAAAUUGAAGCAAAACAUAUUGGUGGAGUGUCAGAAUGCAUAGAUAGAAGCCAAAUAAGUGUUCUAUAGGUUUAUUUCGCUUAGUUGCUUACUCUUGAGUAGAACUGCAAGUUCACUCAAUAAAUAAGCACCUUUGUAAAAUGAGCCAAAUUGAAGCAAAACACAUUUUUGGAGUGUCGGAAUGCAUAGAUAGAAGAUAAAUAAGCGUUCUAUACGUUUAUUUCGCAUAGUUGCUUACUCUUGAGUAGAACUGCAAGUUCACUCCAGAAAUAAGCAAAUAAGCACUUUUGUAAAAUGAGCCAAAUUGAAGCAAAACAUAUUGGUGGAGUGUCAGAAUGCAUAGAUAGAAGCCAAAUAAGCGUUCUAUAGGUUUAUUUCGCUUAGUUGCUUACUCUUGAGUAGAACUACAAGUUCACUCCAGAAAUAAGCACCUUUGUAAAAUGAGCCUAAUUGAAGCAAAACACAUUGUUUGAGUGUCAGAAUGCAUAGAUAGAGGAUAAAUAUGUUAGCAUAAAUCCUCUGCAUGGCACAGAUGCUGCAUGUGGAUGAAUGUUUACUUUAUAUGAUUGCUGUAACUUUCCCACACAGGAGCUCAAGCUGUAACCUGAUCUCCUGUCAUGUGAUGUUCUUUGUUCUGUUUCUACUUUCACUUUCUUCUGAACUGGAGAGUGAUGGCUGAACACACACUCUCUGAAUAAACGUAGAUUAGCACCUA